GAAUAUUUGAAUAUAACUGCUUGUGUUUCCCUAGAACGUUUCAGCAUGGCAUGGAUGAGUCUGCUUCAGAUUCCUUGAAAUCAAUUUUCAACCAACCAUUGCAUUGGGUUUCUUGCAUAUCACAUUUCUACCCUUCUUUACUCAGGUAAGAAACUGUAAAUGGCAUACUAUCUAUAAUUCUAUGAUUCCCUUUAAAAUUUAGUAGAAACUUGGAUUCACAGCUAUACAUAUAUCUUAUAAAACAAAUUUAUAAUUUUUCACAAUAGACAAGUAUGUAAAGAGUAUGAUUUUUUAGCUCAAGAAUCUAAGGCACAUAAUAAUUCCACUUGCUGCUUUAGUGAUAAAAUGGAAAACAGUGAAUUUUUGAAAUUUAGUUCUAUUUUAGCUAAUUGCCUAGCCAUUUAAAAAUUCAUCCUUCUUGAUCUAUGAUGGGGGGGAUUUGACAGUUCUUCAGUUAAUUAUCAGAUAUAGACAGGAAAAGUGGAUAAUCCAUGUAACUUAACUCAGAGCCUUAGAAGUGGAGAGAGGAGUAACUUUUAUAGUUAUGAAUAGGGUCUUUCACUAUUAUUAUUUAAUUAACAGCAUUUAAAAACAAGAAAAAUCAUUUAAAGUUUGAAAUGUUCUUCCAGAGUAAUCUGAUGACAUUUUGUGGCAUUAUAGAGAAUGGCAGUUUGAUUCUUUGUGGAAUAUGUCAUUGGAAAAUGCCUUUGCUUGGUAUCUGAGAAUAAAAAUAUCAUGCAUAGCUGAAGGAGAUGUUGUUAAUUUCCAUGCAUUCUUCAUUCAUCUUGGAAAUACAUUAUCGAUGAUUUUACUAUCUAAGUUGACUGGCUGUAUCUCUGUCUUUUAGGAAAUGAGAGUCUCUCCCCCAUAAAUAGAAAGUAUGGAAAGUUCAUUCACAAAGGUCUCCAUAGACACCACAAGAAUACACUGCUUGCUUGUAUGUGCCUGUCUUCAUAUAGCCAAUGGAGGAUCCAGGAUUAGUGAGACAUAGACCCUAGUUUCAAGGACCUCAGUGUAUUGCUUAUACAUAAAACUUUGUCAGCAUGUCUGAUUAAUUCCUUGUGAUUGAUUUCUAUGGAAUGCCCUCAAUACACUACCAACUCAAUACCUUGUCUUCUUGCAUGUAAAUAUACUUUUGUGUCCUUAGGAAUUAAAUAGCUAACUCCAUAGUACUCAUUACUGCAAAAAUAACAAAUUAAAAAAACUGGGUAUUUUAUAGUAUAAAUUAAGUAAACAAUCUGCAUCCUUUUGAUGAGUUCCUAAACUUCUAAACAUAUUUGUUCUCCACAUUACCAUCACAUUUUAUCUUUUUUAUCGCCUGCUUUUGUCUUAUAUCUGGAACCAGGGGUAUUCUCCCUCUUUGGGAGUAGCUCUCUCUGAUUUCCACCUCCAGACCUUGUCAGUUCAGCCAGCUAGAGGCCUGGGAAGGCAGCAGGAAAUUAGUUUAUUUUUCAAAUAGUUGAUUAUUAUAUUUAACUUCUUUCUCUUUUUCAUAAAUAAAGCCAAGUGUAAAUGAAACAAGAUGUUUCUUUCUGCUUUUACUUAGCAAACAAUCUCCACUAUUAUCCUGACAGAAAGAUUAGAACAUGGGGAUGACUUUUCAGCCCAUAGUGAAAACGAAGUUUGAUUCAAACUUUCUGGAGAGCAAUUUAGUAACAUGUAUCAAAAACUCUAGAAUAAUUUUGCCUCUUUAUUGAGCAAUUUCAUUUCUAGGAACCAAUUAUAAUGAAUUAACCAGAGAAUAUUGGCUAAGUUUUAUAUGUAAAUAUGUCCAAUCAAACAUUAUUUGUAAAUUUUAAAAAAUUUAAAUAAAUUUUCUGUAGUAUAUUGUUGGACAAAUGAGUUAUAGGGUAUACAUAAUGACAAAAUUAAUAUAUAUGUAAUAAAAGGGUUGGUUUUGAAAAAUAAUAACAUAGGGAAAUCAUUGUGAUUUAUAAUUAAGGAGGAAAUCAGAUUAUAAAUAUGAAAUCAUCCAAGUCAACCCAGUUUUUGAAAUGGUGUAUAACAAACAUGAUUUCAAGUGUUUUAUGUACUUUAUCUGUUUUAUCCCUCUGUGACAUUUUAUAGGAUAAGUACUUACGUGCUUUUUUUUUUAUGAAAAGAAAGGUUAUUUGCAGGUAACAACUUUCUGAAGAGAACAAAGCUGGGUUGUCCAGUCCCUAACUUAGCCCAUUCCAUUCUAAAGUUCCAGCACUUGACAAGUGCAUCUCCACCUUUCAAAGAGAAGACACUUCAAGGUGAUACCAAGAGAUGUGCAAGAAAAAUCACUCCCCCGCAGAAAUAAGAUUGUCAGUUACUCACUAAGUCUCUUUUUUACAGUAGAACAUUGCACAGCCCUUGACACACUAGUGUUUAUCUUAAAGUGGAGUUCCCAAACUUCCUAGAUGAGAUAAUCCUUCUUUUCCAGGGAAGGAGCAUUUACUGGAAGUAGGCACAAUUGAGAAGGUCUGACCUAUGCUAGACUAGCAUAUAUAGGACCUUACAAAAAUAUAUAAAAAACAAUAUUGAAAGAGCUUAUAGUACAGCAUCUAUAGCUGGCUAAUGGCUUGCAAGUAAUAUUAAUUUGCAUUUGUAUUUUCCAAAUUUCUUAGAAUGAGUACAAUAUAAUUUUAUUAAGUUAAAGAUAAGUUUUAAAGAAAGUAAAAGGAAAACUCAUUUUCUUUGAUUGUUCCUUUGUUCACAUGGCGUAGGCUACAACCUCUGUGUAGAUGACUUUACUUUUGCAUUUCUAGAUCUGUUUCUCCAACUUUAUGAUUAUGUCCAGCUGCCCAUAUUUCUUGAAUGGUCCACUGUACUAAUGGAAACCCAGCAUGAUGUCCUCCACUAUUUUUCCUUCCCCUCUUGCCUUGUUCUCCCUCCUUCUCUGUUAAGAGUGUGAUUGUUCUUAAAUGCUUCUAUGAUAAAAUCUCCUGAGCUUUUUCUUUGCCUAGUCCCAGUCUUCUAUCAUGUUCACUUGAUUCUCCCUCCAAAGUUCUCUUAGGACCACUCUUUGGCUCCAGCCUAUUUUAAUGAACUUAGUCCAUUUUACCAUUAUUUAAAAUGUCUAAAAUACUGUUUUCAUUAUGUCCCUUUCCUCCUUAGAAUCCUGGAGCAGCUUCUGUUUCACCCACACUUUUUCCUGCCUUCUUUCCUGGCACAAUCAACAACUUUUUCUGCUCCUGUUAAGUUGGUCUCCUCACAAAUCCUUAAGACUGUUUAUUAUUCCCUGAUCUUUAAUUUGUUGUUCAUUCUCAACUUUAGACCUUUAGGAAUGUAGUUUUCUCUCCUGCGAUAUCUUUGAUUCUUUCCUUGGCCUUUCUGAAUUCUUCAUGCAAGUCAUGAUAUGAGCACCCCCAUCCCUUACACCCAUCUGUGUCAUACUUUCUGAAAAUUAUUUUCUGUUAGGUCCAUAUAAUCUGUCUGGAAAGACAUGAUCCACAUGCUUUAUGAUGUGACAGAACAGCGAUAUAAUCAGAGGAACCUAGGGCAGCAAUGAAAGCAAUUUUAAAGUAAUUUAAAUUAUUUUAUAAUUUAAUACAUAGUUAAUAAUAUAUUUAAUAAUUUUAUUGAAUUUGUUAGACAUGGCGUUGGGAAUUCCUAGACCAUCAUCAUAUGACUUUCAAAAUCUGUACUUUUAAUCCAUUUCUCCUACCUAUAUCAGCUAUCGUUGUAUCUCUUUACCCCCAAAUUAUCUUUUAAAACUCCAUUCUUCCCCUUAGCAACUAAAAUGAACUGUUCAGGGACAUACAUGGGUUGGAUGAUGACAAACUAAAAAUACAUUAGCUUUAUCUUUUUUGAAAAGGGAAAGCUGAUAGGAGAGGUGAUUGGAAUAGCUAAUAUUAUGAAGGAUCUUAGUAAUUAAUUCCUCUAUUUGUUAAUAUCUAUUCAUUGUUUCAGAAAGGAUUUGAGUAAGCUUUCAAUAAUAUUAAAUAAAUUAGGAUAAUUAAUUAAAAGUAAGUAAGAAGGAAGAAAAAGAUAAAGAAAAAGGACAUGAAAUUAAGGGUUAAAAAUGUAUAAGUAUCUAUAUGGACCAUAACUUUGUCUAUAAGUUUACUAGUAAAAAUAUAAAGUAUAUGGAAAAAACAGAGUUUUUUAUGUUCCUCAUAAUCCUGGAAAUAGAAUAUAUAAGACUUGACUUUAGGGAAUAUAAGUGUAUUUUCAAAGCAUUAUAAAAUGCUACAUUCAUUGUCCCUAGCCGGGGGUAUAGACUGACAAUGUGAGUUUAUUUAGAUAGAGUAAUCAGUUUCAUACUAGAUUAAAGUAAGGCAUGUUGAGAAUAUAUCAAUCUCAAAGUUAAUACUAUGACACUAUUCUGUACUUUCAUAUAAAUAUUCAAGCAAGAAUACUGUCUUAGUCACUUAGAGUAUAUUAAAUUAUAAUGCUUUUUAUUAUUUUUCAAACUUUCAUCUUCAUGUGAUUCUUUAAAGAUUUGAAAUUUUUUUUUAGUUCUUUCUUUGCCAAGUAGGUAAUAACUUCACAUUGAAUCCAAGAAGCAUAAUCAGUGUGAGUAAACAGUAUUUAUUUCUUUUAUGAGGACAACAUGAUGUUUUAAAUCAUGGCCAGUCCAACCAUAGAUGUUUCUUUCAACUGUUUUGUUGUUGUUGUUGUUGUUGUUUUGUUUCUUUAAUGCUUUUACUUAAUGUAAUCCUGUUUGGAGGUCAUAUAGCUUUCUCCUUACUGAAUGUAUUAAGGUACCUUUGGCUCUAUUAAGUAUUAGGUUCACCAAAAUGUAUUUAUUCUUUUCUUUACUAAAUGCAAUUUACAAAAUUUCUCCAUGUAAGGCAUCAUGAUGGGUAUUAACAGUGAGGGAAGAGACAGAUUAUGAAGUUUAGGACAAAUCCCUUUUCUCAAAUUUUACAUAUUGAUGAAGAAUACAGCCUUAGUUACAUACUUGACAACAGUACACAAUUCCAUUGUCUGCUUCCUCCAUCUUGAGAUACUCUCCUGAUUUCCUCCUGAAAUAGUCUCUCAAUUUCCUUCUUCCAUUUUUCUUGCUGUUUCUCUUACUCCUUGUAGGUUCCUGUAUUUUAAUCUUGCCAUUAAAUAUUGACUAUCCUUAGUGUUCUAUCAUAUAACCUUUUAAAAGUGGUGUUAUCAUUCCUAUGGCUUCCUGGAUUUCCUGCGUGCCCUGUUCUAUUCAUAUCUCUAAUUUUAACCUCUACUAAGACUACAGACCUACGGGUGCCACUCAUACACAAAUACCUUCUGAGAUUUACACUUAGAGAGUGAAGUCACCAUGACCCAAACUGAACUUAGGUUAUUUCCCCUCCAAUCUGAUUCUCUUCUAUUCGUCCCUAUCUUAGCUAACAAUGUCCAUCCAAUUGUUCAACCAGAGACUUCAGAGGAAAUCUGGACAUCUCUUUUCUUCUCCUACAUAUCCAAUGAAUUACUAAGUCUCAUUAAUUUUAACUUCUAAUAACUACUAUCCAUAACAUCACUUUUGUCUUAAUCCAAACCAGCAUCAUCUCUCUCUAACUACGGCAAUUACCUACUAGCUUUCUUCCCACUGAUAUGUUGACCUUCAUUUCUAGUAUUCUCUAAACUGCAAUCAGAAGUUUCUCAAACCCAGAUCUAGUUUCAUAGCUCCAAUUUUAUCAUUUUAUAUUUUGCCUUAAAAUCCUCUCAUGAAUUCCCCUGUCUUUAAUAAGAUCUACAUAGAUGAGGGUCUUACGUUCCUCUCCAAAUGCUUCUUUUAUCCACUGCCCUGGAAACUGUUAUCCACACUUUAGUAUUUUUACAUUUUCUUCCCAUGCUACUCCUUUCUGCCACAGGAUCAUUGCACAUAUUUUUUUCCAUUUCCUUAAAUGUCUUCCUUCUUCAUCUAGUUAAUGACAACUUCUUUUUGUAUCUCAGCUUACAUGUUGCUUCUCCAGUGAAGCUGAUUCCAGAGACUACUUCACCUCUUUUUGCUACAUCUUUUAAGAACAUCUUUUGCUUUUCCUUCUUUGAAUUUUCAUAAUUAUAAUUUUGUAUGAGCAUGUGCACUAUAUGUUUAUCCCCAACUAAAUUUCAUAAGAAUAGGUACUGUUUUUUGUUUAAUGGUUUGUCUUCAUGGUUGAGCACAUAGAAGUCAUCCAGUAAAUAUUAUUUAAAUGAAUGAAUAAAUGAAUGAAUGAUGAAUGAAUGAAUGAAUGAAUCAGAUGGGUGUCAUGUUAACAAGUAUAAACGUUUGAUCUGAGUGGUAAAGCUCAGGCAUGGGAGGUACAAUUUUGAUGAGAAAGUGACUGCUAGUAUACUAGGGAGAGAACAUCUAGAGAGGAGGACAAAGUUUGUCUGCCAACUGGUGCUGACAAGCUACUGCACAGAACUGAAGGAAGAGAUGAGAGAGCCUUUACUCUGAUGAAGUGCCAAGUGUUAUGAAGAGCCAGUGGCCAGGGAAAAGUAACAAUAGCUUUCUAACACCAAGGCUCGCAAGUGGCUGUUCCACAAGUGUGGAUGAACAGCUAGAUCUUAGAAGAUAUUUUCAAGGGGAAAGGCAGUGUCUGUGGACCAUCAUUAAGAGAAAAUUGGCAACUUAUUCAGGUACUUCAUAUACCUAGAUAUCUGAACAUUUAUAUUUUCUUUUUCUAUUGUGAUUUAAAGGUAUUAUAUAAAUAAUAGAAAUGGAGUUAGCAAUGCAAUAAUAAAAAUAAGUGUUCCCAUUGGACAGAUGUGACUUACAUAGUUGUUAAUUUUAUGAUCUUGCAAAGUGAAUUACACUAUGUGGGUUUCAGUUUUAGUUUAAAUUUUGGUGAGGAAGUUGAAACAUAAAUGCAAUACAAUCUUUAUUGACCUACUUGCAAGUAGCAUGCAAUACCGUUGUCUUCUUCCUCCAUCUUGAAGCAUGUUCUUCUGAGAGGGUCAUGAGAAUUAAAUGAGUUAAAGAGCCUCUGAGGCACUUAUCAUAUAAGUACUUACUAAACAAUCCUUCAUGACUGCUGGGUUAAUAAAGAGUUGUGUGUUUCACAAAGUGGAAGAUUUUAUCAAUUAUCUAAGCAUGUUGAAAGGAAUUACUACAAGUGUGAUAAAAUGGAAAGAAUAUUGAGCUGCUUUCUCCCUGGCUCUCUGUACUUAUCAGAAGUGUGAUGCUUGGGAGACCUUUUUUGAAUUCCCUAUAACAGGAUAUUAUCUGGUGGACAGAGACUGAUAAUAGUCAACAGCUCCAGAAGAUAACCUCUGCUUCUCAAGAGGGAAGGCUGGGUGAUCCAGUGCCUUAGUGACUCAGUGCUAGAUUGGGACAUUGGAGAGAGCCCCAAACUGGAAGCUGAAAUGUUUUAUUAUUUUUAAAAUUAAAAUUAGAUGAUAUAUAUUUUUAGAAAUAGAAUAUGCUAACUAGUGUAACAUCAAAGUAUGGCUCUGUGAAUUUUAAAUACUAUCUUUGGGGGAUAUUUUAGAAAAUAGGAUCAUCCCAAGAAAAAGAUUGGUUUGCUAAAAAUCAGGAAAUCAGCAUAAGUCUUCUUGGGUUGAACAACUACCUUUUACAUUGUACACCACAUAAGUAUAGAUAUAGCCAACAUUGAAGAAAUGAGAAUGUUGACUACAUUAGUGACCAAAGCUAUUUUAAAAAUUAAGGCAAAAAAAAAAAAAACCCUCGUGUGUGUGUGUGUGUGUGUGUGUGUGUGUGUCUCCUAAUAUAUAUACAUCCUACCUCAUAUACAUACAUAUAUGUAUAUGUAUAUAGAUAUAUUCUACUUAAUUUCUACUUAUAAUAAUUAAAUAUUAUAGAGACUUGGCUGUACUCAAUAUAGAGAUUAAAAUAUAUGCAAAUAUUUUCAAUGCUAAAACUACAUAUCAUUUUCACACUUGUGGUUAAAGUGAUAAAGAAAAUAUUUUGAGUUUUUUCCCUCAACUUUUCUAUCAGGUACUAAAAUUAUCUUCUUAGAAAAAAGAUGACAAAUUGCUUAUUUUUUUUCUUAGAAUGAUUUUGAAGGAUAAGUUAUGGGAGAUCAAGAGAGUGCCAUAAUAUGAGAAGUUCUCCACUUUUGUUUUUCCCUGUUAAGGCUUUUACCCUCAGUUUCUUUUUUGUUAUGCCAUUACCUUUGUCCUUUGAGUCAUGUAAUUUAUAGUCUCUGAUAUAAAUUUGUCUUAGUAAUCCAUGACAAGAAUCAUCUGGUUGAGAUCAGUAACAUAGCUCUAAUUUGGGAAUCAGCUCUGAAAUCAUAAACUUGAUUUUGGUCAAAAACACAGUAUCUUCUAUCAGGAGGUUCAAAAGAGCCAAACUUCCUCAGAAAAUGCAACUUAUUCACCAAAUAUCCUUCAGGUUGAAUAGGGGAAAAAAUAGAGUAAUGGAAAGAACAUGGGUUUUGUAUUUGUGUUUUUAAUAUUUUUAUAGUUGUAGAGGGACAGCAUGCCUUUAUUUAAUUACUUUAUUUAUUUUGUGUGGUGCUGAGGAUUGAAACCAGUGCCUCACACAAGCUAAGCAAGCACUCUGCCACUGAGCUACACCCCUAGCCUGAACAUAGAUUCUGAAGUCAGAGACACCUGGGUUCACAGUCCACCAGCUACAUUUAUUAGCUAAAUGGCCUUGGACUAAUAUCUUAAGAUUCCUGAAACAAGGAUUAGGUUGAAAUGAACACUAAGUACUUUUGUGCAUUUCCAAGUUAGAAUUUUUUCAAGAUAUAUACCCUGUGACAAAGAUUCAAGUGAAUAUAGUUUAUUUUCUAUGUGACGACACUUUAAGGGGAAUGAAUAAGUGAAGAAAAGAAAGAUUUGUAUAAUCAAACCAGCUAUCAAAGGAAUGACUGGAACUUGAAGCAUCUGGGGAAUUCUGAGAACCAGUAUGAAAUAUGCAGUUCAGAGUUAUCCUACCAAAGGAACAAGGAUGUUGAGGUAUUGAUGUACCAGCUCCCAUUGGUCAUUGAUUGAGGGCACUAACAGCCUGUCUUGCUGGAAAGAAACAUAGACUGAAAGCAUCUUUGCUCCUUUGUUCAGGCCAGUGUGAUCUGUGAGGUAAGGGCAAAAGGAUGUACGGUCAUGGACAUCUGCUGUGGUCCCCCCUUGCACUACUGAGAUCUACUUCUUUCUCGUGUUCUCAGAGGCCUAUUAUUGAUUCUUCAAGGUGGCUUUCUUUCUUUCUAAGAAAAAUUUAAUUAGGAAAGAGUUGGUAGGACAAGGUAGAGUACUCUCUGUGGCAGUUAUUUCUGAGUCUGAAAUAAUAUUCAUCAUUAUAUUCUUCUACAACUCUCCCAUCUUCCCUUCACUAUUGACCAUCAUAUCUGCUGACUUAUGCUGCUUGCCCAGGGCAGUCAUUAUGAUCGUCAUCCUCCAGGGGGUGAACUCAUUAGUUUCCAUUCUUUUGGAAUAGAAUGGCAGUUAUUGCUUUCUCCUACAUAUGGUCAUUAACAAACCUGAGAGCAUCAAGAGAUGCCCUGAGGAAUCCCUUCAGUUACAGAUACUUCUCCCUGCUUGUCUUAUGCAGCAACAACCCUAGCUCUUCAUGAUAACUAGGUUUAAUAGCCCUUGCCAAUAGAGUGAUUUCUUUCUUUGCCUGAUAGACUUCUGACAGGAGGAACCAAAGAUAACUUCAUGGCAACUAUGAUUUUAGGUUUAGUGGAAUCCUAAAUGGUCUUCUGUUAGAGGUGUAUAUACCCUACCCCACCAUGGAAACCAGGGCCUCCACUUGCACAGAGCUUCUGGCGAUUAGGGGAAUAAAGACCAAAUUUCAAGAGAAUCAUCAAGAGCUUUAGUAAGAGGGGUCCUUACUACUUUCACCCCUUGGUUCCCAGACCUCUAUAGUUUAUCUUUUGAAGCCAACAAUUUGUUAGUUCAAAGUAAAUGUCAAAUCUAGAAGAAUAGUGCUCCACCACCACUGUAUAUUAUCCCACAUUGUGCUUUUAGAAGUACAUUCUAAUGUUUUGCUAAUCUUGUAACUUCUUUGUGAUACAUAUACGGUAGGAUAAAUGAAUCCCAUGGUCAUAAAGCUUGAGCAGUAAAACUGCUCACAGUUCAAACCUGCUUCAGAGCCUUCUUUCAGGCUGGGCUUUAACAGUCAAGCUGAAAGUUAGGACUGUAUGUGCUGAUAUAGAAGAGACUUUUUAAAAAAAAGUUUUCUAUUUCAGUAUAAACACAAACCAAAAUUUUUUAAAAUUAUAAACAAACUACUUGAUUAAUUUAUAUAAAUAUACCCGAAUACAGCUAACAUUUUUACAAUAAUUUGUUAUUUUCAUAAACCAGUGAUGGUUGAACUCCAUUACUAUAGGUAGUUGAAAAAAAAUUUAGGCCAAUCCAAGCCCCAGAAAUAUAGCAAUUUUUAGAGUAUAAUCUUAACUCAUUAAGUCCCAAGUUUUCAAUUCUGUGAAUAUUUUAAUGAAAUUGAAAUAGGUGCAUUAAAAAAGAUUGGAAAUCAUAAUCUACAGCUUAUUAUAUGAUUUAGUAUCAUUAAUACUGUUAAUGAUACCAUUAAUAAUGUUAAUAUUAUCAUAAUCAUUUAUCUAUUACUUUUCUCAAAAGAUCAGAAUUCUAAAAACAUAAAUAUUUAUUUCAGAGUUACUAUAAAUGGUGCAAUUUAAGUUUUUUAGGUCUUCUGUAAGUGGAAUGAUGGGACAUAAUGGGUUAAUUCAACAUAGUCAUAAAUUUGUUUUGUCCUUCAAUAUGAGAUAUAUGAGUUCUGUUGAACUAAUACAGUUUUGUUCUCUUCUUUGUAUCAUAAUGGAAUUCAACAUGUACAUAUUUGAUACAUACAUAUAUACAUAUAUCUAAAAUUUCCCUGUCAUUUUUUUAAGGCUAAUUUCACUUUCACAGAUCCACCAGCUCAAAGGAUGAGGGAACAUAUGCUUCUCCAUAUGCCCCAAACAGACUCCUCAAUGCAUUUUAUUACUCAGAGCUUGGUGAUUUAUGAAUGUUUGUACUAUUUUAUUUUUCCUCAUAGUGAGUCAUUCUACUGUACAUUUCAAAAUUGUGAUAAGUUGAAAGAUCCAAGAACUGAGGUAUGUUUCAACAAACAGCUUUCCAUCUGGUAAAUGAGAGAUUUUAUUUAUAACCAGGUAUGCAGUUACAGUGGAAAGAAAUGACAUUCAAACUAUUUUGUUUUGUUAUAUGACUGAGUAAAAACACUAACCACCUCCAUCCCUUCUCCAUACUGCAAACAGAUCAGGAAAUUUGUCUACCUUAAACUCUUCAGUAGAUUCAAAAUCCCCACCUUGGUAUAUGAGGAGGACCUCCAUGAUCCAGUUCCAGCCUCCUUCUUCAAACUGUUUCUCCAAAAUCCUCUUCUCUUCACUCCAGCCAAACUGGGGUUUUUCAGUUCUAUCCUUAAGUCAGCUCUCAAUUUGAGCACAACAUAUUGAUAGGAAACAUUAAAAAACAAAGUUGAUUUAAAUACAUAACUUACUACCAACAGUUUUUCCUCCACUAUCCCUCAGCGGAGCUUCUCUAAGUCAGCAUUUAUGGUUUAUGAUGGAAGUCAGGAAGAGUAUUGUAUCUCUUGGUACCACAUUUGGAACUUCUCCAAACACCAGAACUCUCUGGGACAGUUAAUCAGAACUCCUGGGAUGCUCAGAACUAGUGGACUUGAUUCCUCCAGCCUGAGGGUUAAGUAACUUCCCUCUUCUCUCUUCACUACCCAGCCAGGGCAGGACUUUCCCUAGCUAACACAGCCUACCAAGUGCCUGAGCAGUUUGCCCGCUUCCAGUUAUGUUAUCAGAGCUUCAUAUAGAAUCUGAGUCUGUCCAAAUUUUAAGCACAGGCUGAAAAAUUUUGUGGGUCAUAAGGUAUGAAUUGUUCCAAAUGCAAAGCCAAGCAAAGGAAGAGGUACUUUCAAACUUCUCCAUUUUAUAUCCUCAAAUUCUCUUGAUUUUGUUUAAUUCAUACUUUUAGCAAAGCAUUAUUUUUUUUCUUAAAACUUUGCCUACUCAUUUAGGAGCAGACAAGUCAAUCAGCUAAUGUUUAUAGAGAGUUUAAAUAUGCUGAGUUUGGGAGCUUUAAGGUAUAUAAAAUGAAUAUCUUCAGAGACUUGAAUAUGGAUAGUGAAAUAAAGUUUUGAAGAAAUAAUCAAGUGCUAAAAUAUGUAUGCUUGUCAUAAGUGUUUUAAUUCAGAGUGAGACCACUGUGAAGAGAAAAUUUUAGUCAAGACUUCUCAGGGGAAAAAAGUGGGAAUUUUUGUUGUUGUUGUUGUUGUUGUUGCAAAUUCAAGAUUGGGUAAGAUUAAGAUAAAGAUUCAGGGUCAUAGAAAAUUCAUUGAGUGAAUGGUGUCUUAGCUCAGGCCGUUAUAAAAAACAGACCAUAUUUCUGAUAACUUAAGCAAGAGACAUUUAUUUCUCAUAGUUAUAAAGCCUGUAAGUUCAACAUUAGGUUAUCAGCACGGUCACAUUCUGGUGAGGACCUUCUUUCAACAGCCAACUUCUGAUAUCUUCAUGGUAGAAAAGGGCAAGGAAGUUCUUUGGCCUCUUCUAUAGCGAUAUUAAUCUCGUUCAUGAAGAUUCUACCCUCAUGAACCAAUUAUAUCCAAGAAUCUCAUCUCAAGAUGUCAUCUUAUUGGGGUUGGGGUUUGAAUUUGGGGACAACAUAAACACUCAGUCCAUUGCAAGUAGCAGCCAAGGCUGACCUGCAUGGGCACAAAGACCUGGAGACAGCAGAUGAUGCUAACUCAUUCUAUUUCUACUACCUGUGUCCCCAAAUGCACUGCCUACUACAAUGGUUCCUAAACUUUAACAUGUAUCUGCUUCUCUUAGGGAGAGCUUAUUAAAAUAGAUUUUGCGGACCUACCUCCCAAAUUUCUAGUGGAAUAAGGCUUGAGAAUUUGCAUUUUAAACAAGUCCUCAGGUGACCCUAAUGCUUCUGGUCUGGGGCCCAAGCUUAGAAAACCAGAAGUCUUGACUGUGUUGAUAACUGGAUGGCUCACCACUCAGUCAACAGCAUCCCCUAAUGUUAAUACCACAAAUUGUCUCUCUUAGUUAUACCUUUUCAGUCUGGAGCAUCCAGUCCUCUCAUUCACAAUUCUGCAUUCCUCAAACACACUUUUCCUUCCAAAUGGCACACUGUUCUCAUAAUCAAUGUGGCCCAACUAGAGUGUUUGACUAUUGCCUGCUUUGUGGUGGUUGUUGUUGCAAGUUAAUUUCCCAUGUUGUGACCUUCAUAUGAUCUAAAUUUUGAAAUAUUUUAAGAUAAAAGUGAAUUGUAUUGUCAGUUUCCAAUUUCUACUUUACUUUCUGAUCUCCUGUCAAUACAUUGAUGGGGAUGUGAGGGACCUGUUUUCAAUUUUCUAUUCAACACUGAUGAUAAUUUUGCAAAAAGAAGCUUAUUUACCUUAGAAGUAUUUCUCUUUGAUGAAAUUAUUAUCCAAGUAGAUAGUACUGUUACUAUUAGUAGCAGUUCUGCUGAUUGCAUGUUGAUUUAAGAUUUUACAUAUUACAUAAUUAUAUUAUGGUUGACACUUGAUAGAUGCUUUGAUUCCUUUAGUUUCAUCAGUCAUCAUAGCACAUAGUACAUCACAAUGUAGCAAAAUCCCACUGGAACUUCUUUCCGUGAAUAACAAAAGGAGUUAAUUAAUAGCACAUAGUAGGCAUUCAUUGUGUAUUUGUUGAGUGAAUGAAUUAAUGCAUUUAGAAUAAGCGCAUAAAUAAUUUCUUCUCUCCAUGAAACAAAAAUAGACAUGGUUCUGUGAAAUGUAGGCAUGGUUAUUUUGUAUCAGUUUGAAAUUUGGCAAGCUACCAAAUGUUAAUUUGCUUUUAGCUAGUUGAGAUUAAAUGUAAUUCCUUCCCUGAGCAACCCGAAAGUAAGUAAGCAUGAAAGCAUUUUCAGACUAAUCUGGGAGGAAUUGACAUUUAAAGGAGUUAGCAUUACAUCUGUACUUUAAGGCUAUUAAUUUCAUAGAUAAAUUAACUUCAUUACUCCAUCUUUAUCUUGCAUUUUGAAAGGACUCCAUCAGCUGGAGGACUGAAAGCGGAGGGUCAAUUGAAACUGCUCUUAUCCCAGCCAGGUUGUAACUGGAACCUGCUUCUGGAAACCCUACUGAGUAAUGACGGUCUUUUACCAAGAAUCUUGUUGCAGAGCUCAAGUGAGUAUUUGUAGUUACAAGAAUGUCCUCAAAAACCCACUCAUUGCUUGAAUGAAACUUUUUUCCCUACUGAAAUUUUGGCAGAAGAAUGUGAACCAACUGCAUAUAUCGACAGGGAUUAGCAGCAGGCAAACUAUUGAAUUGAUUUACCAAUCUAUAUAAGAAUUAUUUUUUUCAGGGACUCUGAAUGAGGGGAAACAAUAUUUUUAUAUGACACUCUUCUAUCACAACUACCAUUAUAUAGAAGUACUUCAAUAAUCAGGGAUUGAGAUGCCUAAGGAUAUUGGAAGAACACUGUUAUAUUUUUUAAAGCACAUGCCUGAAUUAGAUAAUAAAUAAAGAGAUAAAGAGGGAUUUCAUUAAAGCAAUACUGGAAAUUUUAGUGUAUCUUAAAGUGUGCUUAUGCAAUUUAUGAAUAAGCAAGCUAUGGCUUACUGCCAUAUCCAUUGGCACAUGGAGAAAUCAAUAAUUUCUCCAAUGGAAAUUGAGGUGUAAUAAAAGACUACACUUAACUAGAUUUCCUUUUUUCCCUAUAGAUGCUAUUUUAGAAAAUGGCAAGUAAUGUUGUGCCAGUAUUAUAUUCCAUUGUGCUUCCUCUCAUAUAUGAAGUCUUCUAACCAUGUUCACAUACCCUGUGCAUUUCUCCUAUUCUGUACCACAUGUAAAUCCAGAUUAGUCUUAUGAAUAACUAGUUUCACUAGAGGUUUCCUUAAUCAAAAUCUUUUUUUCUCUUAUUCCUCAUCACCGGAAGGAUUGAAUCCAGAUCCUGAAGCCAUUGAAAUAUGAGCCCAGACUAUUUUCCUAGCCUUUUCUUCCAGUUCUCCCUUUCACGCACUACCCACCCACUCAGCCCUUUUCCAGUCAUUGUUGCUGAAGCCCCAUGCAUGUAUUUCCUCAUCACCUGUGCUCACCUGUUUUUCCCACUUAAAAUCUGUUCCUCAGGAAACUUGGUCUCUGCCAUUUUUCAAGGGCCAGAAUACUCUCCUCAUGCUGAUUUCUUUUGUGUUCCAGGUCUCUGAAUAUUCUCCUCAUGCUGAUUUCUUUCUCCCUUGAACUUCACAGCAUCCCCAACCUUGUCUAGUUCAUCUGUCCUUAGCAUUCUCUGCCUGCUAUUGCUAUAUUUGUGUAUGAAUGAGGCAAACAUCUCCAGGUCAUCCUCUUGGUAUGAAACUGAGCUUCACAGCAAUCCCCUGUCCAAAUUGCUCUAGUCAUUUCCGGUAAUCUUUGACUUCUCAUAUCUGCUCAGGACCAGUUCCCCAAAUGCUUCUCACCCAUCCACCUUCACAUCCAGUUUCUCAAAAGUCAUUUGGGAGAGGCACCUCUUGUGAGAAUACUGCUUCUUCCCUGGUGCUUUCAAAACCAUAAAACCAUGUGGUGCCAUAGUUCACCAGAACUCCCCAGGCCUCACUGUGCUGAAGCAGAGGUGCAGAGGUUAUUUCUCUUCCAAAUACUGAAUUUUAUUUUUUCCUUUAGUCCUGAAGCAAUAUUGUUUGGGCCUCAAAUAUUUAAAAUAAAUAAAUAUUUUAAAAGGAAAAAAGUGAAAGUUUCACCUGAAAGUACUUUUCUUAGCUUCAAGUUGCAACUCCAGUCUCCUAAGGGGAAAGUGGCACUAGGAAAAAUUCUUUCUCAAAUAAUAGCAUUUUAUGUACAUAUUUGGUGAUAGGCAGGGUGUGGGCCCUUUACAUUGUCAUCUAAUUUGAUCUUAUAAGCCUAUAAAAUUUAUACUAUUGUUAUCUUCAUGUUAAAAAUAAGAACAUCGAAGUUUUAGUUGAGCACGGAGGUACACACCUGUAAUCUCAGCGGCUCAUGAGGCUGAGGCAGGAGUACUGCAAGUUCAAAGCCAGCCUCAGCAACUUAGUGAAGCCCUAAGCAAUUUAGUGAGACUCUACCUCAAAAUAAAAUAUUAAAAGGUCUGGGGAUGUGACUCAGUGGUUAAGCAGCCCUGGGUUCAAUUUCUGGUACAAAAAAAAAAAAAAAACAAAGAACAUUGGAGUUUAGAAUAAAUAAAAUUGGCCUUCUGUAUCUAUAGGUUCCAUAUCCGUAGAUUCAACAAUCACAAAGUAUUCAGAAAAAAAAAAGUUUUAUGUGUACUGAACAUGUACAGACUUUUUUCUUGUCCCUUAAACAAUAAAGACUAACAACUAUUUAUAUACAUUUACAUUGUACUAGGCAUUAUAAGUAAUCUAGUGAUGAUUUAAAGUAUAUGGGAGGAUAUGCAUAGGUUAAAUGCAAAUACUGUACUGUUUUACAUCAGGAACUGGAGCAUCUGAAGAUUUUAUCCUCUGAGCUUUCAGGAAAAGUGGCUGCAUGACAUGGAUAGUAUCUUACAUGACUGAGACAGUUCCUCUGAUACAGUCAUUGAAACUCACAGGCAUAAUCCUUUAAGAGAAAUGGUCUUCUUUAUAACAGAGUUAUCUAGAACAGACAGGAAAAUCAAUUGAGAUCAAACCUUUUCACUGUAUUGAUACAGCCACUAAGGAUGAAAAAUUACAAAUAUUUAACUAUGUUUUCUUACAAAUGAAUCCCAUAUUUACUUGUCAAAUAUGUAAUAUCUGCCUUCUGGUAUGUUUACUAUGAUGCAGUUUUGAACAGAGUUAUAGUUAUCAAAGGUACCAUAUUGUACACCUUCAGUUGUGCUUCUUUUGAAUUACAAUACUAUAUUUACUUAACCUAGUCAAAUACCCAUCACUUUUUACAAAGGCUAUUAGGUUACAUGGGUGAUGUGACAUUGAAUUUCACUAGCUACUUCAAAUAACAUGAAGAUGAAGUGACAGAAUUUACUAAUCAAUUUAUUGACCAACGUGUUAAGUUCCAAUAAUAUUCCUGUCACUUUAAGUUAGAAACAAGCUACCCAUGGAAUCUUAUUAACUAUAAUAAGAUAGAAAUUAUUAUGUACAUUAAAAUUAAUUAAUUUCUAGUAUUUUUUUGCAAGAAUUUUCUUUUCAUUUGAUUAAAAGUCUCAGAAUUUCAGAACUCUGUUUGGUAACUUAGAAGUUUAGUCAUUUUUAGGAAAGUAAAAUUUUGGAGUAAAAUACUCUGAAUUAAGUAUUUUAAGCAAACAUAAUCACCAGGUUCUUAUGAGGAAGUUUUUCUUAUAAAUAAUGCUUUUUUGGUCUAACUGAUAAAAUUUAGCUUUGCAUUAAAUUGCCUCAGGAAUUAAGAGUACAGAGAUAGUAAGUACAUGUUUUUAUUAUACAUAUUUUAAAACAAUUCUCUUUAUUUGAUGGUCAAUUAUUGAAUCCCAUUAGGUAUAGAUUUUUUCUUGAUAAAUAACCAUAUAAUGUAAGAUUAAAACUAUUGCAUAAUGAGAGUGAUGUCUUUGGCUUUUGCUUUUGUUCUGUGAAAAUGAUUUAUCAGAAUUUCUUUUUUUUUAAUCAGCUGAAUAUGUAGGGAAAUGACCACCCUCCCUGGGAAUUAGAAAAUAGCAAAAUUAAACAAAUAAAUGGUAAAAUUUCAAUUUGUAAUAUAUGCAUCAUAGACUGCAAGCUUCAAAGAAGUAGAAUCAUGUUUUUGCUAUGGGUAAUAAUUUCUCUCGUACUAAAAUAGUUAGCAUUUUGAGGCAAUGAUUACAUUGUUAAAACUUGAUAAAAAUGAAACAAUUUCAAUGGAGGUGGUUUAAAAUAACACUCUUUUGGUUCAGUUUGGAUAGCAUGAUACAGUGAUGUUUGUUGUUUUUACAUUAACUAUCUUGAAUCCAAGUGGGGAAAACUCUGAAAUACAAAUGUUUAUAGAGGAUUUUUAAAUUAUAAGGCCUUAUUUUGGAUUAAUGACUAAAAAUAUCCAGGUGUGAUGGCACAGCCUGCAAUCCCACCAACUCAGGAAGCUGAGGGAGGAGGAUCACAAGUUUGAGGCCAGCCUUAGCAACUUCAUGAAACUCUGUCUCAAAAUAAAAACUGUUGGGAUGUUCGGUGGGGCUGUUGUUCAGUGAUCCUGAGCACUAGAGAUACAGGGGGAACCAUUUUGUUAAUUACCUUGCUGAGGCCACAUGGCCUUAUAGAUUUCUUACAUGUGGCAUCAAAGGAAUUAAUAUGUGGCAAUUUCCCAGUUUUUAGCAGGUGACCUUUUCUGCUAGUGAUAUUUGAAGGAAGUAUUAAUAACAUGCUUUCCUUUGCCUAUUGGCCGAAAAAUGAUUCACAGUGAAACUUCUUGGCUUUCUGUUGAUAUUCAGGUAUAAUAUAACAACUACAAAUUAGCAAAUACAUAGUACUUAAUAUGUUGCAGACAAUGUUUUUAAAUGCUUUAAAUGUGUUUACUCACUGAAGCCUCCUACAACCUCUGGGUAGUAAGUACAUUUAUCUCCAUUAACAGAUGAGUAAAGUGAGACAUGGUGAAAUCCAAGUUACAAACCUAGUAAAUGGCAAAGCAGGAUUGCACCCAGCCAGAUUGCUUCCCAAAGCUAUGUUUCCAGUCUAUACCACAUGGCCUCCAACAGAAUUGCAGAAUAUUUACCAAAUAGCAGUGUUGCAAAAUCCAUGGAAUCAAUCAGGAACCUCAUCAAUGGAUAAUUUUGAUAGAGUGUUUUGUAUUUUUUAACCUGUCACAAAGUGCCUAAAGAUAAUCAAGAAACAAAUACAAAGAAAUUUUUAGCUAAUGGACUAUUACUAUUACCAACCCAUGGUUGACUUAAAAUGAAUGAAUUAAUCAAAUUCUCUUAUCGUCAUGUUUUCUUGAUCUUUUAGGUAAUAUGAGACAUAUUAUGGCAGAAGCUUGGUGUUUUGUUGUACAUGGUGAUGGUGGUGUGUGUAUGUGUAUACCAUUUUAUAGGCAUGACCAAAGUGCCAUUUUAUUACCAUCUUAAAGGAGGUGACCUGAAGUGAGAAUAUACUCCUACUUGGUAUUCAUAGCUCACCUAAAACUGAUAGUAUGUCAUAGUCUACUUUAACCAGUAACAACAUCUGCACUAGAGGACUCUGCUUUGUUCACUAAUUUCUUUUUCAAUAGAUUUGUUCUUCAUUCUUACCAGAAAUAGUAGAAUCAUAUUUGCAUGUUUUUACAUAUUCCUUUUCAACCAAAAAUUCUGCUUAAGAAUGAUGAUGAAUUUACUAAUCCAGAAACAUCUGUGAGCUGUAUUGGGUUUUUCUAGACCAGAAACAACCAGUGUUGGAGCUGCUGUGGAUGGUGGCAGGACAGGAUUAUAUCAAACAAAACUUCUUGUAAAGUGCAAUAUAGCCACAUGUUACCUGAGGAUCUGGUUAAAAGGGUAGAUUCUAAUUUAGUAGGUCAUGGGUGGGGCUUGAGGUUAUGCAUUUUCAACAAGCUCCCAGGUGAUGCUGUUCCUGUUCCUGUGAACCCUGGGCAACUUUUUGAGUAGCAAUGAUCUCAAACAAGGUAUCUGUUGCUAUAGAAGCAAAAGACUGUGAUUGUGAUUUGUCCUUACAAUAUAAUAAGAAGACAUGAUUUGCUUAAGGAUAUUUAUAAACCAUUUUAUCUGGAAGUUCACAGCAGCAGUCAGCAAGCAUGGUCUUAUUCAAAUACAGAUCUGAUUAUGUCACUUCCCUGCUAAAAACCAUUAGUGGCUGCCCAUUACUUGUAGGAUAAAGACCCUGAUUCUUGAGACACCUAUAAAGCCCUGUAUCCUCUAGUUGUGGCCAGCAUAUCCAGCUCAUCUCAUUCACUCUCCUUCAGUUUAACAUGCUCCAACACAGGACCAUGCCUAUUUGGGUCUAAAUUUGCAUAUUUGUAACAGCAAUCUCCCUGCAGAAGUGUCCUGAAGAAAGAGACAAUUGCUACAAUACCUAACAAUAUUUUCAUUGUUCCAUACUCCACGUUUCCUUCUUGCUACAGAGUCUUUGAAAAAAAAAAUUCUACCUAGAACCUUCCUCCUUUCCAUUUGCCUGACAACUCUGAAUCACCUUAUCCUCUUUCCAUCCUCCUGUCCCUCCCUUUCUUUUUCCUCUCAGCCCAUACUUCCUUGGAAAUUAUCCCUGAUUGUCUUGACUGAGUGAAGACCCGUGUACUUCUUAUUGUCACAGUUAUAAGUGAAAGGUUAAUUGACAUAAUGGUGUAUUUAAUUUGUGUCUCAGCCACAGUGAGUUCCAGAAAAGUGGGGACAGCUUACUAUUGUAUCCUGUAUGCUUUGCCUUGUUCAUAGUACUUCAGACUGAUAACUAGCACACAGAACAUACCUUAAAAGUAUUUGUUGAAUGAAUGAAGGUCAAUUAAAUCUCCAUAACAAUUCUGUUUCAUUCAUUAGCUUUGUGAUCUCUCUAAACUUCAGUUUCCUCAUUUCUAAAUGGGUCAUUAAUAUUGAUGUUAUAUAUUUGUUUUGCGAUUUAAAAGGGAAAGUAAACAUAAAGCACUUAAACAUUGCUUGGCACUUCAUACUUAAUUUGUGUUAGAUUGUUUUCAUUAAUUAGUGCUGAAUGCCUGCAAAAAUAUGCCUGAUUCUCUUCUUCCUCCUCCUUCUCUUUUUCUGAUCAUCCUGUCCUAUUUAUGCAAUGAAUUAUCUCUUCUGCCUCUCAGUAACUCCCUCCUAAGCAUUCACCUAAGCAUGAAUGUAUGUCUCCUAGGUGUUGAAGUUUCCCAUUUUGGACAUUUUUGUGCCUGGGAAGGUGUUGCCCUAGUAUCUGCCAUGCAUAUAAAGAUGAGAAGUGGGCCAAAUAAAUAUCUCAAUUUUUAUACAUUUAGUACUCUUUAAGAACACUCUCAUAUAGCUUGGGAGAUUAGCAGUGUGAAUUUUGCUAAUAUGUUUUACCUACACAUAAUCACUUCUCAUCUGGCUUGGCAGUGGCUGAAAUAUUUUACAUUCUUUCUCUUUAUGGUACUUAGAAAUGUCUAACGUAACUGUAAGAACAUUUGUCCUCGUUAGUAGCUAAUGUGUGUCUAGUAUUAGUAUAUAAAGUGAUUGGGCAUUAUAUUCUCAGUGAUACUAUUAUCAUGAAUUGUUGCAUUUUUCCCCAAGCAACUCAAAGUAAUUUAACACAUUAUUUCAUUUAUGACCCUUGGAUUAUUAGGAUCAUUUUACAAAUGAGAAAACUAAGAUAAAAAAAAUUGAGUAAAUCACUACUUGAUGUUUUAAGUGGUCCUUGUUAGAAGAAGAGCCAUUAUUUUCUGAAAGUAUUGUUUUUAAAUGAAUUCAAAAAUGAAAACAUGAGGCUUUGUGGAGGUGAUUCUUUUAGAAAUAAGAAAUAAUAUUCUUCUGAGUCAAUUUCUGAAAAUGGUUUCUCAAUUUUAUAACUAAGUUCUUCAUUUAACUAAUAUUUAGUGGGUCAAGUAAAAUCUACAGAGCUUGGAGUUAACUUAAGACUCCAUUUGCAAACAUUAGAGCAUGAUUUCUACAUUUGUUUUUAUACAAAAUCAAUCCCACUAGACACAAUUCUAAAAAAAAAAAAAGAGUCAAAAACAGUAUACACUAAACUCAUUUUUUGGAGAGUCACAGGGCUUAUGAAUAAUUAAAUAUUACAAAAUAUGUAAAUAAUACAAACUAAUUUUAACAAAUGGAAUUACCUGUAUGUCUUAUACAGUUUACCAUUUUUAAAGAAAUUGGAUAAAUUGACCAGUUAUAAACCUCUUAUGAAUCUGUAGCUAUUUCCUUAAUAAAUACUUUUUCACUUUAUAAAUUGUUAAACUCUUUAUGUGUCAUUUUCAUUUGUUAAAAAAUAAAUGGAGAUAACACAAACCUCAUGUAGGAUAAUGAUAAAUGAGAAAAUGUAUGUAAAAUACUUUGCAUAAUACUUGUGCCAUUGUGAAUAUUCACUAGGGAUUGUGGGUAUUCAAAAGAAGUAGAAAUCUGAUUCAGUAUUCAGAGAAGAAGGAGGAGCAAGAGGAAGAGGAGGAGGAAUAGGGGAGGGGGAGAAGAAAGAGGGAGGGGGAGGAAGAAGAGGAGGACCAAAGGAAGAAAUUUUAAGUGUUGAACUGUAAUUCAUAUGUAAGCAUUUGGGGCAAGAAAAUGAUCCCAGUAAACAACUUGGGAGAUAGGAAUGAAUGAAAAGAACGAUUCUUUUUUCUUCAUAUGUUUAAGACCACUUCAUGAAAUUUUUUUUCUUUAUUUUUAUAUUUAUUAUUAUUAUUAUUAUUUGUAUACGUGUGGUACUGUGGAUUGGACCCAAGGCCUCCCACAUGCCAAGCAGGCACUCUACCACUGAGCUAUAUCCCCUGCCCCAGAGACCUCCUUUUUAAAUUUUCAAAUUUUGCCAAAUACAAGACUAGUUUGAGGGGAAAAAAAUCUAAUAAUCAUUACAUUAACAAAUGAAAGUUUCAAAUAAUGGCAAGUUUUUAUACUUACUGUUAACCUUUUAUACAACAAAGUACCAUAUUAAACUAAUUUUGAAAUUAGAUAUCAAUUUUAUUUUUGUUAAUUUUCAUUUCAAACUAGGUUGUGACAUUCAAAUUUAAUGUUUCCUUGAAAGUAUUUUUAUGUGAUACUCUACCCCUUUUAUCUAGGGGUUAAUUUAUUAGCCUGGGUUUUUGUUUUUGUUUGUUUGUUUUAAGUCCUUGUUUUAUAUGCUACACUUUCUAUUCUUGCACUUUAUAAUGCCUUUGUUGAAAGUAAGUCUUUCAGCCUCUUCUCUUUGGUUUAGAGAUGCUUUUAGUGUCUGGUUAAUUCAGCAUACCGAGCUCAUGUGCUGCCACACCAUUGCUGCAAAACUCAACUUAAUGACUCAGCAGGAGCUUGUCAUUAACAACAUUCUUGUAGAAAGUAAAAAUUAAGCAACCUUGGAAAGCAAAGCAUUAUUGUGCCAUGUAGGUGUUACUCUUUGUUAGCAAUACAGUCUCCUGGUUGAGUUCCUUGCUUUAUACCACCUUCUUUUGAAGUACUAACAAGUUCAGAUUGCAAAAGGAGUUUAAAAAGGCAGUGAAAAAGGGUCCUUCAGUGUUAUUGAAAAGAUGAUCUAUUUUUAAAUCACAUAUUUGUUUCUAUAAUGUGUAAAACAUUCAUAAAGGAGUAGGCAGAUGAAAUUUAAAGUAGAAGCUUUUCUACUGUUAUUAGAACUUGUAAAACCUGGGCCAGGGAAUAUGGCUUUGAAUAUGUGGCUUGCUGACAAUGCUCUCCAGAAUUCAGUGGAUCCCCUUCCCUCUGAUCUCCCAGCUCCGCACUUACCACUCCCCAAACCACUAGAUCUUCAUGGUGAAAACCUCAGGACUUCCUAAUCUUGGCAAAGCCAGAUUCAGUAGAAGGGAGAUGAGGCCAGAAUGCAAGCCCCUGAGGUCCAGACUUCAAAAGGAGAAAAGAUAGCUAGGCUUAGCCAACCAGGCCCAGAACUUUCCCCCAAACUAACCACUCAGACAAGUCACUUCUUCUUUAGCAUGGAUAUGGUGGGGAGGGGCCAGCAGGGUGGCUAUAGUACUCAGUAAGAGAAUACAGAGCGGAUCCAAGAUGGCAGGCUAGAGGGAGGCUGCAUUCUGUGUCACAUCAUGACCUGGGAUUCAAGUAGUGGGAAUACUGUUUCUCUGCAAGUUAUUAGAGGACCCCCAGCAGCAUUCUUGUUCUCCUGUACAAGAAUCUCAGCUGCCAUGCCUGCGCAGGUCUCCAGGCCUCAGUGUAUGUGAAGGACUCCAGGCAAUUUGCCCACAAAGGUCCUCUGGGUACCUGAGCACUCACAGGAAUCCUGGCAUCACUCCCAUGCAGAACACCCAGCCUCUGCUCACACACAGAACCUCCAUCCACCACACCUGUGUGGACUCCAAUCUACCAAUGUGGGGCUUCCCCUGUCACCUCCAUCUUGGGACACAGCAACCACUUCCAUAGUCCUUUACAUGUGGUACCCUACACCUGGGGACACCAUACAGGGUGUGGAGACAGCUGCCAGCCACAACACUGCACACUAAGAGCUGCAUCUCUGAAAAUACUGCCCAAUGCCAUCACCCAGCCUCACCCAACCCCAUGACUGAAAGCAGCCACCUGUAUCUUGGGACACCUUUGUUGCCAUCUUUAGUUGAGGCAACUCCUCACUUGGGACACCUGCUGGGGCUUAGAAGCAAAAUCAAGGAGAGGUAUUGGAAUCCUGCAGGGAAACUAUAAGCCUAUAGGGUAAAAACUCUAAUGCCUCGGAGCAACAGUACUAGAAGGAAAGACACAUGAACAAUGUGAAAAAACAAAGGAAGAAAGUACCCCAAACAAACCACGAUACUACAUUAUUAGAAUCCAUGGGCAGCACAACAGAAGAAAUUACAGAGAAGAAGUUAACCACACGGUGAAGAUGCUAAGAAACCAUGAGCAGAAAAUUAAAAAAUUAUGGAAUAACAUAUAAAGAUCAAAAUUAAGAAUUAUUGGGAUAGAGGAAGGCAUAGAGUUCCAAACCAAAGGAAUGAACACUCUAUUCAAUGAAAUAUCAGAAAAAUUUCCAAACAUGAAGAAUGAAUUGGAAAAUGAAAUACAAGAGGCUUACAGGACACCAAAUGUACAAAAUCACAACAGAUCCACACCAAGGCACAUUAUAAUGAAAAUGCCUAGCAUACAGAAUAAGGAGAGAAUUUAAAAGCCACAAGAGAAAGGAAUCAGAUUACAUAUAGGAGGAAAACAAUUAGGAUCAUUGCAGAUUUUUCAACCCAGACCCUGAAAGCCAGAAGAUUCUGGAACAAAAUAUACCAAGCUCUGAAAGAAAAUGGAGGCCAACCAAGAAUCUUAUAUCUAGCAAAAUUAAACUUUAGAUUUGACGAUGAAAUAAAAACCUUCCACAAUAAAUAAAACUUAAAAAGAAUUUACAACUAGAAAGACUGAACUACACAACAUCCUUGGCAAAAUAUUUCAUGAGGAAGAAAUGAAAAACAAUGAAAAUCAGCAAAGCAAGGUAUUACAAUAAAGGAAAAACCAAUCAAAUGAGAAAGCAAGUCAAGUUAAAUACCAAAUAUAAACAAAAAUUACUAGGAAUUCAAAUCAUGUCUCAAUAAUAACCCUGAAUGUUGAUGGCCUAAACUAACCAAUCAAAAGACAUAGACUGACAGAUUGAAUUUUAAAAAAAGACCCAACAAUAUGCUGCCUUCAAGAAACUUAUCUCAUAGUUUCACCACAGACUGAAGAUGAAAGUUUCGGAAAAACAUACCAAUCACAUGGUCUAUGGAAACAAGCAGGGGUUUCCAUCCUCAUAUCAAAUAAGAUAGACUUCAAGCCAAAGUCAAUCAAAAGGGAUAAAGAAGGACAUUUCAUACUGCUUAAGGGAACCAUACACCAACAAGACAUAACAAUUAUAAAUAUAUAUAUGUCCCAAACAAUGGAGCAUCUACAUUCAUCAAAUAAACUCUUCUCAAGUUCAAGAGUCAAUAGACCACAACACAAUAAUUCUGGAUGACUUUAACCACACUUUUUUUUUAAUCACUGGAUAGAUCUUUUAAACAAAAGCUAAACAAAGAAAUUAUAGAAAUCAAUAAUACAACAAAUAACUUAGACUUAACAGAUAUAUAUAUAUAUAUAUAUAUAUAUAUAUAUAUAUAUAUAAUAUGUCAUCCACCAACAAGUGAAUAUACUUUCUUCUCAGCAGCACAUGGAUCCUUCUCUAAAAUAGACCAUAUGCUACAAAGCAACUCUUAGCAAAUACAAGAAGUAGAGAUACUACCCUGCAUUCCAUCAGAUCAUAAUGGAAUGAAAUUAGAAAUCAAUGCUAAAAUAAAAAAUAGAAGCUACUCCAACACCUGGAGACUAAACAAUAUGCUGUUGAAUGAACAAUGGGUUACAAAAGACAUCAAAGAAGAGAUUUAAAAAAUUCUUAGAAGUAAAUGAGAAAUCUGAUACAACAUUUCAAAAUCACUAGGACACAAUGAAGGCAGUACUAAGAGGAAGGUUCAUUCCUUAAAAGAAGAAAAAGUCAACAAAUAAAUGACCUAACAUUACAUCUCAAAGCCCUAGAAAAAGAAUAAAUCAACAUCAAAAGCAAUAGAAGUCAGGCAAUAAUUAAAAUCAGAGCUGAAAUGAAACAAAAGAGACAACUGAUAAAAUUGACAAAACAAAAAUUGAUUCUUUGAAGAAAUAAAUAAAAUUGAUAAACCCUUAGCCAUGCUAAAGAAGAGAAGGAGCAAUAAAAAUCAAAUUACUAACAUCUGUGAUGAAAAUGGAAAUAUCACUAUGGAGUCUAUAGAAAUACAGAAGAUAAUUAGAAAUUAUUUUGAAAAUUUGUACUCCAAUAAAAUAGAAAACAUCGAAGUCAUCAACAAAUUUCUCGAGUCAUAUGAUUUGCAGAAACUGAAUAUGAUAUACACAAGUUAAACAGAUAAAUUUCAAGCCAUAAAAUAGAAGAUGCCAUCACAAGCCUACCAACCAAAAAAAGUCCAGGACCAGAUGGAAUGCAUAUACAGCUGAGUUCUAUAAGACCUUUAAAGAAGAACUAAUACCAAUACUCCUCAAAUUAUUUCAUGAAAUACAGAGAAAACUUCCAAACUCAUUUCAUGAGGCCAAUAUCACCCUGAUUCCAAAGCCUGACAAAAACACAUCAAAGAAAGAAAAAUUCAGACCAAUAUUUCUAAUGAAUAUAGAUGCAAAAUUCUCAAUGAAAUUCUGGCAAAUCAAAUACAAAAACAUAUUUAAAAGAUAGUGCCCCACUGUCAAGUGGGGUUCAUCCUAGGGAUGCAAGGUUGGUUCAACAUGUGGAAAGAAAUAAAUAAAUGUAAUUCAUCACAUCAGUAUACUUAAAGGUAAGAAUCAUAUGAUUAUCUCAAUAGAUGCAGAAAAAGCAUUUGACAAAAUGUAGCACCCCUUCAUGUUCAAAACACUAGAAAAACUAGGGAUAACAGGAACAUAUCUCAACAUUAUAAAAGCUAUCUAUGCUAAUCCCCAGGCCAUCAUUAUUCUAAAUGGAGAAAAAUUGAAAGCAUUCCCUCUAAAAACUGGAACAAGAUAGGGAUGCCUUCUUUUACCAAUUCUAUUUAACUUAGUUCUUGAAACUCUAGUCAGAGCAAUUAGACAAAAGAAAUUAAAGGGAUACAGAUAGGAAAAGAGAAACUCAAACUAUCACUAUUUGCUGAUGACAUGAUUCUAUACCUAGAGGAUCCAAAACAUUCCACCAGAAAAUUUCUAGAAUGAAUAAAUAAAUUUGGCAAGGUAACAGGAUAUAAAAUCAACACUCAUAAAUCAAAGGCCUUUCUGCACAUCAUUGAGAAAUCCUCUGAACAAGAAACUAGGAAGACUACCCCAUUUAUAAUAGCCUCAAAAAAAUGAAAUACCUGGGAAUCAACUUAAGAAAGGAGGUGAAAGACCUCUACAAUGAAAACUACAGAACACUAAAGAAAGAAAUUAAAGAAGACCUUGGAAGAUGGAUAGGCAGAAUUAAUAUUAUCAAAAUGACCAUACUACCAAAAAGACUAUACAGAUUUAAUGCAAUUCCAAUCAAAAUUCAAUGACAUUCCUCACAGAAAUAGAAAAAGCAGUCAUAAAAUUCAUCUGGAAAAGUAAGAGACUCAGAUUAGCUAAGGCAAUCCUUAGCAAGAAGUCUGAAGCAAGUGGCAUCACUAUACCAGAACUUAAACUAUUCUACAGAGUAAUAGCAACAAAAACAGCAUGAUAUUGGCCCCCAAACAGACUUAUAGAACAAUGAUACAGAAUAGAGGACACAGAGACAAACCCAUAUAAAUAGUUAUUUCAUAUUAGAUAAAGGCACCAAAAACAUAUUGGAGAAAAGAUAGCCUCUUCAACAAAUGGUUCUGGGAAAACUGGAAGUCCAUAUGUAGCAAAAUGAAAUUAACCUCUAUCUCUCAACAUGCACAAAACUCAAAGUGGAUCAAGGACCUAGGAAUUAGAUCAGAGAUCCUGUGCCUAAUAGAAGAAAAAGUAGGCCCAAAUCUUCAUCAUGUUGCAUAGGCCCUGACUUCCUUAACAAGACUUUUAUAGCAAAUAAAAUUAAGAAUCAAUAAAUGGGAUGGAUUCAAACUAAAAAGCUUCUUCUCAACAAAAGAAAUAAUCAGUGUGGUGAAGAGAGAGUCUCUUGAACGGGAGCAAUUUUUUACCACACACAUAUCAGAUAGAGCACUAAUCUCUAGGAUAUAUAAAGAAUUCAAAAAUCUUAACAUCAGAAAAACAAAUAACCCAAUCAAUAAAUGGGCCAAGGAACUGGACACUUCUUAGAAAAAGAUAUACAGACAAUCAAUAAAUAUAUGAAAAAAUGUUUAACAUCUCUAGCAAUUAGAGAAAUGUAAAUCAAAACCACUCUAAGAUUUUAUCUCACUUCAGUCAGAAAGGCAGCUAUUAAGAAUACAAACAACAAUUAGUGUUGGUGAGGAUAUGGGGAAAAGGCACACUCAUACAUUGCUAGUGGGACCGCAAAUUGUUGCAGUCAAUGUGGAAAGCAGUAUGGAGAAUCCUUGGAAAACUGGGAAUGGAACCACCAUUUUACCCAGCUAUCCCACUCCUUGAUCUAUACCCAAAGGACUUAAAAAUAGGAUACUACAAUGAUGCAGCCACAUCAAUGUUUAUAGCAGCACAAUUCACAAUAGCUAAAUUAUGGAUCCAACCUAGAUACCCUUCAGUAGAUGAGUGGAUGAAGAAAAUGUGGUAUAUAAACACAAUGAAAUAUUACUCAGCAUUAAAAGAGAAUAAAAUUAUGGCAUUUGCAGGUAAAUGUAUGGAGUUGGAGAAUACAAUGCUAAGUGAAGUUAGCCAAUCCCAAAAAAACAAAUGUCAAACGUUUUCUCUGAUAAGUGGAUACUGAUCCAUAAUGGGGAUGGGCAGGGGCCCAGGUGGAGCUUAGGAGAAAUGGAGGAACUUUAGGUAGAACAAAGGGGAGGGAGAGGAUGGGAGAGGGCAUGGGGUUAGGAAAGCCUGUGGAAUGAGAUGGACAUCAUUACCUUAAGCUAUGUAUGAAGACACAAAUGGUGUGACUCUACUUUGUGUACAACCAGAGAUAUGAAAACUUGUGCUCUAUAUGUGUACUAUGAAUUGAAAUGAAUUCUACUGUCAUGUAUAACAAGUUAAAAUAGAUAAAUAAAUUUAAAAACAAUUUUUAAAGAGAGUACAGCCCAGUUCAGAUGUGGAUUAAUGGGACAAUAUGUCUUAGGCAAAAUUAUUGAUUGAAAGAGGCAAAGUGGAUAACACCUGUUGAAAUCAUGGGUGCUUUAGGUAAAUCUAGAGCUAAAUAUCUCUUUUACCACUGAAGAGCUCAUCAGGAGGAUUUUUUUUUAAUAUUUAUUUUAUUUUUUUAAUUUUUAUUAUUGGUUUUUCAAAACAUUACAUAGUUCUUGACAUCAUAUUUCACACAUUUGAUUCAAAUGGGUUAUGAACUCCCAUUUUUACCCCGUAUACAGAUUGCAGAAUCACAUCGGUUACACAUCCACUGUUUUACAUAUUGCCAUACUAGUGUCUGAUGUGUUCUGCUGCCUUUCCUAUCCUCUACUAUCCCCCCUCCCCUCCCUUCCCCUCCCCUCCCCAUCUACUAUAAUUCAUUUCUCCCCCUUGUUUAAUAUUUAUUUUUUUAGUUUUUGGUGGACACAACAUCUUUAUUUUAUUUUUAUGUGGUGCUGAGGAUCGAACCCAGCGCCCCACGCAUACCAGGCGAGCGCGCUACCGCUUGAGCCACAUCCCCAGCCCCAGCCACAUCCCCAGCCCCUCAUCAGGAGGAUUUUAUAUCAGAAAAAAAACAAUGUCUAUCCCAGAAGGCAGAGGGAAAGAAAAAAGAAAAGGCUAGACCUGCGUUUGAAGCAAAAUGAUAGGGACUAAUGGGAAGAAAAGGUAUUAUGUUUCCUCACCCAUUCCAAGGUUCAUGGCUCUGGCACCUAAAAUAAAUGGAAGAUUGACAAAGCUAAAAUAUUUAUUUAAUGUUAAUUUUACAUUCCAUGUGAGCCUUCGAAAGUAAAGAUCCAAAGAGAUUGGGAAAGCUUUAUAUUUUUAUGCUUAAGUUCUAUGAAAAGCCAACUGUUGUGUAGAAGUAUGAUUAGACAAAUGUAUGAGCUAAUGGCAGUAAGCUAGCAGGACCUUAGUAUAGGCCUGUGUGUUCAAGUUAUUCUUUGUGUCUCCAUGUCUUCAGAGACAAGGACCUUCCUCCUGGCAUAGGGAGAGUAGUUCUGGAAUGAUGGUUUUAUUACAUACUUUAGAGGAAAAAGAGAAUUCUUAUACAGCCUGCUUCUGCCAAGAUGCAGUCCUUUGGGGUGAUAUGUCCUGAAUAUCAUGAGAACCAACAUAAGAUGCAAGUUAAAAUAAUAAAACUGAGACUGAGUCGCAUUUAAUAGAAUAGGAAAUAUCCAAAUGAAGGACAGCACAAAAAUAUUCCAACAACAUAAGAUAUUCAAAGGUAAGGAAAAAUCACAUUUGUGGAUGAGCACCUGGCAAAAGUCUUGGUUUUCACCAGUUUUCAGCGACAGAGACCUGAAGAAAGUGUGUAGAACCUGCUGAGGGUCACUCACCAUCCUGGCCUUAUUAGAUGAUGAGUGAGGCUCAAAGUGGAAAUUUGGAAUAUUGUAACUAAGAGUAGAUAGUAGGCCAGAAUGUGUAAGGCAUAUGAUUAUGGUGAACUUUAAAAGGCUACCAGGGGAGGCUAGAUUUAAUGUGUAUUCUGGGUAGUGUUUUCAUUAAAACAAGAAGUAAGAAAACCUAAACUAUAUUAAUAAUGUUGGAAACAGAGAAGGGACACUAUGGAAGUAAGUGAACAUUUGAUUUCUUAUAUAGAAAGAGAUGAGACCAGGGACAUAUUUAUUUUUUUUAUAUCUAACAAUCUAGAGAAGAAUUAAUUCCUGCUAAGGCAUUGAGCUUGGACAUGAAUAGGAGAUGGCAAUGUCCUAGACAGAAUUAGGGAAUUCAGCAAGGAUAAGAAAGAGCAAGAUGAGAGCCAUAGAUGGAUGAUUUGCACAAAAAGAACCUUUAAAGUCAAAGGAUGGCAGGAUGACUAAUCCAGAUGUAAAUAUUUAACUUUUGAUUUUUUGGAACUGGCUCAUUUCACUUAGCAUAAUAGUCUUUAGAUCCAUCCAUUUACUUGGAAAUAUCAUAAAGUCAUUCUUCUUUUUGGUUUAGUAAUCCUGUUGUGUGUAUAUGUAUCAUAAUUUCUUUAUCCAUUCAUCUGUUGAAGGGCACCUAGGUUGGUUCCAUAGCUUAUCUAUUAUGAAUUGUUUUAAACAUUGAUGUGGCUUUGUCACUGUAGUAUGCUGAUUUAAAAUUCUUUGGAUAUAUACUGAGAAGUAGGAUAGCUAGGUAAAAUGGUAGUUCCAUUCCUAGUUUUCUGAGGAAUCUUCAUACUGCUUUUCAGAGUGGUUGUACCAGUUUGCAGGCCCAUCAGCAAUGUAUGAGUAUACCUUUUUUCCCACAUCCUUGUCAACAUUUAUUGUUACUUGUACUCUUGAUAAUUACAGUUCUGACUGGAGUGAGAUUAACUUUCAGUAUAGUUUUGAUUUGCAUUUAUGUAAUUGCUAGAGAUAUUGAACAUUUUUUUCAUUUAUUUUUUUACUAUAUUUCUUCUGUGAAGCAUCUGUUCAGUUCCUUUGUCCAUAUAUUGAUUGGAUUAUUAUUUUUUUGGUGCUAUGCUUUUUGAGUUCUUUAUAUAACUUAUAUAUAAAUUAGUGCUCUAUCUGAAUUACAGAUGGCAAUUAUUUUCUCCCAUUCUGUAGACUCUCUCUUCAUGCUUCUGAUUGUGUCCUUUGCUGUGAAGAAUUUUAGUUUGAUGCCAUCCCAUUUAUUGAUUUUUUUUCAUUUUAUUUCUUAUGAUUUAGGGGUCUUAUUAAGAAAGACAGUUUCUAAGCUGAUAUGUUGGAGUGUUGGGCCUAAAUUUUCUUCUAGUAUAUGCAGGAUUCCUGGCCUGAUUUCUAGAUCUUUGAUCCAUUUUGAAUUGAGUUUUGCCCCACCCAUUUUCAUAAAUACUGUUUCCUUCCAAUGUUGUCUUGACCCUAUGCCUACACAUUGUGCAUGACUACUUUUGUGUUGUAAGAACAGAAAACAAAAGGCUCCCAAAAUGUAAACUAUUUACUGUCUGGCUCUUUAUAGCAAAACUUUGCCAAGUCUCAUUCUAUACCAUAAGAGAGGAAGAGCUUACCGAAAAAGGAAUGCCAGAAAGGUACCCUGAAACCAACAGGGCAUGGCCAUAAGGAAGUCAAGAAAGAAGUGGUCUCAAAAGAGCAGUGGAAAGGGAUCCAGAAAAUAUGCACAGGGUGAAGCUCCAUGAAGAAGAGCUCUCUGAAUGUUAUGAUUAGGAGGCAGUUAGGUAUCAUUCUUGGUGAACCAAAGCACCCCCCAAAAUGCCUUAGAGAUCUAACUCCCAUCUUUUUUUUUCCUUCUUUAGUAUUGAAAUAUUAGUUAAAUACAUAUCACUAUGCCAGGAGCUAUUGGGAGAUACCUAAAUUCAAUCACACAUAAAAAUUUAGAUUAUAAAAAGUCAUAAAAUAGUGCUAGAGAUAUAAUGAAAUAAUGAGAAAAUGUAAAAUACUACAUGAAAUUAUUUUUUCAUAAGGCAAUAUGUUACCACAUACAAAAUACCUGGCUUGGAGUAAUGGCAGUGCAUUCAAAGGUCACUGUCAAUAAAAUGUCAAUGCAUGCUUUGAGAAAUUUGGGAUUCUAGUGUAAUAGAAAUAGUACAGGCAAACUCCUAAUAUCUUUGUGACCUUGGGACAAUUUACUUAAUUUGUUUCAAUUUUACUUUGUUCAUCUAGGAUUACUUUGUUCAUCUAGGAUAAUUGGCACCCAUUCCAUAGAGUAUUCUGAAGAUGAAAGGAGAUGUAAACAGUUUAUGUGAUGUUUGGCAUACAUUAAGUACUUUGUGAAUAGUAAUUUCAUUUUUAUGGAGCUGGUAUAAAUCUGAAUUCAUAAAUUCAGAUGCACACGAAUGAAUUACUUAUUGUCUUUAAGGCAACUUUCUGAGGAUUGUCAGCCCAUCCCACUUGGCAUUUCACCCUAGAUGAUGUUGGCGCUCAAUCCUUCUUACACCCAAGGUGACACACAGGGCCCAGGGAAGUUCUAUCCAUCAUCAGUUGCCUGGACAUCUAGUUUCUCAGAGAGACAUUUUAUCCCUCUCCAUCUGGUUCCUCUGCAUGCAGAAAUGUGUUUGAAACCUUUUGUGAGGUCAAGAGCCCAUGUCAGCGACCUGGCUUCCCUUACGCCUCACCCAGGCAAGCCUCCCUAAGCACUACCAGCAAGAGCACACAGGCGCUCUUUCUUGCAGACCCAGAAGUUUCUUUCUCGUUUCAGAACUCUUCUCACUGAGCAAUCCAAACUCACCCCUGCUCUCCUGCCAGGAAACAUAUGAAUUCACUGGGAAUCACAUAGUAGUGACAACAUUUUUCCUUUUAUGGUCUACAAGAAUGACUAUUUUAUUAGUUCAAGCUAAACAUUCUUCAAUAGAUUUAGCUUUUCUCCUUCUUUCAUUUUUAAGUCCAAGAAGGUAAAUGACUUCAGUCUCUCUGUACUUUUCAAAUAACAGAAAUCCCUGGGUAAAGUAAAUAGAAAUAGAUUAGUUUAGGGCAAAGGAAAAUAGGAGAAAACAAAAUUCAUUGAAGUAUGUCCACACAUUUUCACAAUAGUAGAAGUAAUAAUAAUAUUUGUUAUUUUUGGUGUAACCAUUGCUCCUUUCCACCCCUCUUUCCACGUAUGUGUUGUCAUACGUGCUCCAUUGAUUGACUAGCUUCAGUUCCCUCUCCCUCCCAGCAGUCUCACUUCCACACCCCCAGCAGAUGCCUGUGGGCUUCUUAUUACACCACCUCUUCUGUCUUUCCCCACCUCAACUUUGUCAUGCUGAUAAACUCUAUUGCUCCUUAACGAUUUGGCUGAGAGAGAUCUUGUUGUUCUGCCCCGCAAAAUGUAAAACAUUAUUCUCUGUGUUUCCCCAUUGCUUUAUAUUUAAGGCGCUUAGAAUUAGGAGAUAGAUGAAUUUGUCAUUCAAACAGAUAGUUUUUAAGAGUGAAGGAGGAUGCUAGUAGUAUUUAUGCCAGGACAACAAGACAUAAGACAGAUUGCCCAGGCAAACCAGGAUGGAAAGUUACUUUACUUAUCUUUACAUUGCUAUAAUUAUUGUUUACUUGUCUAUCAUCCCAUCCCCAAGUAAAUAACAAUACAUAGGUGCACAGUCAGUGAAUUACAGGCAAGUGAAGUUCUCAGCACCUGAUCCAAUAACUGACAUAUAGUAAACAAUCAGUCAGUUCAUCAAUUUAUGGAAUCAUAGUGGUUUUAUUGGAGGACCACAUUCUAGUAUGACAAAAUAGCAUAGGCCAAAGAAAAGGAUACAGAAGGGCACAUUUGAAAGAAAUAGCAAAUAAACCCUGUGGUAGGACAGAUAUUUGGGAUUUGGAACAUAAUUUGGGAAGAUGUUGUAGAAAUUGUGAAUCAUCAUGCCAAGGAAUUUUUUUUGCAAGUGGAGUCAUAGGGGAAGGUUUAAACACAGGAAUAACAUAAAGGAUAGUGGAUCAUUGUACUUAACAUGAAUUAGAGAGAGGGGAAAGUAGAGAGAACUUCAGAGAGUAUUUGAAUAAAAAAACAUGAAAUAAUGGGUGCCUGAGUUAGAAAUAUUUUCCAUUUAACAUUUUUGCUUGUUUUAAAAAGAAAAAAAUCAAGACCUUUCAAAAUUCAAUUACAGAAAUCCAAAUUAGCCUAUCUAACUAAAAGGGAAAUCGAUCAUCUCAGCUAACAUGAAUCUAUAAGCAGCGCUGAAUCCAGGUUCUGUGUCAUCACAUGAGGAAUCUUCAUAUCUUGAUUCUGCUUCUUACUGAAUGAGAGUCAUUCUCAGUCAAGUUCUUCUUGAAAUAGCAAUCAUCAAUUUCCAACCUGCUAGGCAAAUCUGUUAGAAAAAGAACAUAGUUUCACCAAUUAUUCCACCAAAAACCCUGAGGAAGUUUGUCACAUUGGUUACCUGCCCAUCCCGGAAUUGAUCACUGUUAAUGGGAGAUGUCAGGCUCUGAUUGCUCAGGUCUUGUCAUGUGCCCACCUUUGGUAAUGGCAACAAAGUAAACCAUGUUAAGUUAAGGAUAGGGCAAGGGAUGUGGGUAGGGGCUUGAAUAACUAGAUAAAGAAAAAACUUGUUUGAAACGAAUAUUAGAAAGUAAACCCAAUAAAGGCUCUCUGCAUAAAGUCUAUGGUUCUAUUUUUUACUUUUCAAACGAUAGUGAGCUCCUCUAGAUUAUUAAAAUCAAAUCCCAGAAAUAAAAUUGAGAGGAAACAUAAAAUUUAUUAGCUUCCAAAUGAGCCAAAAUAAAGAAAUGUACUCACUCCAAAAGACUUUAGAUUACAUUUAUACAAGAUAUAAGCUGACAUUAUCAUUAUUCAAUAAGUAUUUUUGCUCAUUAUGAUGCUGCUUAUCCAAACAAAAUAGAAAUUGUUAUUUCAACUUUCCAUCCAUCCCCUAGAUGCAAUAGUACAGAAAUUUCUGAUUACUGAUCUUUGAGGAAGCCAUAAUGGAGCAAGAAGAGAGUUGAAAAAAGCAAUUAAUUGAACAGCCAACAAUAAAAAAUUUAAAAAAAAAAGAUAAAGUAUAGAAAUAAAAUAGAAAAAAAAAAUAAAAAAGCAAUUAAAAUGGCACCAUUUUUAAAUUGCAUUCUGUUGUUACAUAUGACUAAUUAGAAUAAUUUUUUUAAAUGGCCCCAUUUUCGCAGAGUUCCAUAUGUGGUUUUAUUGAAGAGCCAAUCGAAAAACUUCUCCAUUUUGAAAUGACAGGGUCAAUGGGUUUGGUAAACAUUCAUUGGGUUAGCUGGACCAUUGAUUUGAAAGAAUGUGGUAUUUCUGUUAUGCAAAUAUUAACAAAUACAAUUCAUAGCAUUAUGCUGGACUGAUAAGAAUUUAAUCACGUUCACUGAUGCCUACCUUACUACAUUGUUUUUAUUCUUUUCUAGCACGUACCUUUCAAGACCAAGUUUCUGAUACAGAAAAUAAUCUGAACCAAGGAUUUAGCUUGUCAGAAGCCAUCUUUAAAGUGCUGUACCACUGCAAUUUUUCUCCAAAAACUUUUGGAAAUGUUUUUGUGAACUACAUGGAAGAAGAACAAUUAUGGGACUUUUUAAAUUACAUCCCAGGUAUGAGAAAUUUACUAUUUAUAAAAGAAGUACUUUAUAGAUACUUAAAAUGCCUUUAAAGAUAUUUUUAAAUUUUAUUAAUUUGGUUUUGCUGUUUUUGUUUGUAAAAGUUUACCUUACAUUUUUUUUCCAGCAUAAAGGCCUCUAUUGGAAAACCAUUAAGCCAUUAGUUCCUGUCAAAUUUAAUAUAUUUGAAGAUAAAAAGAGGUUGGUUGAGGGUAAAAAUUAUGUAAUGCAGAUUUUUUUUUAUUUUGAGGAAGUGCUUUACUAUAAAAAGUUAGUUUUGUAUUUACCAGAGAUUAUGUUUUGCUGGUGAGCAUAUAAGACAUAGUAAGAUAUAAAAAUAUUGUGAUUCUUUGGGUACAUUUACUCAACAAAAUGAUGAAUGAGACUAUUGGUUAUUUUUUUCAACUAUAGAGGGGAUUUAUUAUUGUGACCAUAGUGCAUUUCUGUUCAAGGCAAGCAUGUUCUGUGAUUUCUUUGGGGCCAUAUGUUUUCCCCAUUGUUCUUCUGCCUUCAGCUAGAGAGGAUGUUAAAGAGAGGACAAGUUGUAUAUCUGAAUAGGAGGUGUUUAUUGUUUCUUCCUUAAUAUUCUGCCUUUAAAUUUUCCAAAUUUAAUAUCUUGGGAAAACAAAAGAUGAAAACUUAGGUAGUGGUUGUUGUGAUUAUCCUGUUAUUCCAGUUAUGUCAUUUACAUUUGGAUUUCAACCCAUUAGCUCUCUUUUACGCUGCUUUGGAGCCAACAUUUUCAUAAAAAUAAUCCCUAGGCUCUAUAAAAAAAAGAUUGAACUGACUCAAAAUCAUUCUUUCCGGACUUUCUGACUGUCCUCCAGCUAUUACUUGAAUAUCACUUUAGCUCUUUAAAGGUCAUUGUGUUUCAUCUUCUUUUGGUCAGUCACUAUCCCUGCAAAACAGCAACAGACAACUUUAUGUAAUGGUUUCAAAAAUCUGAAUCUAUCACUUAAAGAUUCUGUAACAAUUAUCUUCUUUCAAAGUUUUAUCUUCUAGUUUCUGUGCAUUGCCUCACUGCAUCCUCUUUACCCAAAGGUAGUGCUAGCUUCUAGGUAGAAAGAUUGAAUUAGAAGGUUGUGCUUCUGAUGUGGUAAUUAUUGAAAUAAAAGAAAACUCACCUUGGAAGCCCCACCACCCUCUGCCAUUUUUUAGUUGUUCUGAGAAAGUUACAGCUAUGAAGAAUUUAACAAGAUUAUGAAGUGACCCUCAUGUUCCAACCACUAUUUAUUCUUCCACUGCUAAGUUCUUGGACCACUUUUGACAUUCAGCACAAAACUGUCUGAAAAUGACCUAGAUGGCCUCAGUGGACUUGAGGUGUUGGCAAGAGAAAAGUUUUUAAAAUGUUACUAGCUCUUAAUGUGUAUUCUCUUCAUCUACACAUUGAGGACUCUUUACUCUAGGAAGUCAGACAAGUCUUUGGAAACCGAUGUUACUAGAUUCAAGAGCCUUAAUUGUAUGGGGAGACUCAGUUGUAUAGGAAGAAUAUAAAAUUGGUAACAUGCCCUUUCUCCACAAACAUUAAAAAAUAUUCUCUGGCUGUUGAAUAUUAUCUGGAACCUGAGAACUACAAUGGUCAUGAGGGUCUGUCUGUACUUUUGUCUUUUCUCUACUAAAAGUUUAUAACAAAUUCCCUUUCUGUUGUUGAUCAUGGUUAUUUUUAAAAUGCUAAUAAAAUAAUAUAAUGUAUUAAUCCAUAAUGAAAUUGAGCCUUACACUGUGACUUCUGUUUAACUUGAAAAUAUAACAUGUUAAAAGUAAAUAUAGCAGAGAUACAAUCAUAACCCCACAAUAUCUACCUAUUACCAGAAAUGCAUCCAAGCUUCAGUAAAUAUAAUUUAUCUACCCAGAUUAAUUGCAGUACAUUAUUAAAAAGCCAAUGAAGGUAUAUUUUCUUCUUGCUGAAACACUGUCAAAAAUUUCACUAUAGAUUACCCUAAAAUGUCAUCCUUACUAUUUUAGGGUGGAAAAACAAAGAUGAAGUAACCAGUAUCCUUAUUAUUGAAUAAACCAAGGUUAGGAGUGUUAAGAGAUUUAUCUAAGAUUGUCUACUGUUAAGUGGGACAGAAUCAAAGCAAAAACAAACAAACAACAACAACAACAACAACAAAAAAAAAAAACCCACAGAACUCCAGACACAUUGGCAAUUUCUCUUUACUGUUUUCUAGGAGAUUAAAUUUUUGAAAGAUUUACUUAGUGAACAUAUGAGUUCACUAAUGAAAUAUACAAUCUGAUUUUAUAAUUAGAAAUCCCACACAUAACUCCUUAGAAUGGACAUGAGCUAAGGGGAGACAACAAAAAUGAUUUUACCCAUUGAAAAAGAUUAUAAAAGAGACAAAUACAGAAAAUAAUUAAACUAAAGACCUAAUGUGGACAUUCAGAAGGCUAAUGUACUCUAAAAGAAAUAAUUUUGGUGGAAAUCAUUAUAAGCUAUCUCUUUAAAGCAGAUAAAGUAAUUUUCAGUUGGGCAAAUGAAAUUACCAAUGCAUAAAUUUCCUCAGGUGGUUUUUAAAACAAUGCCAAAACAGGCUUGAAAAUGAGGAAUCUAUUUUUAAAUGCUGCAUAUUAAAUUAUAGUAAUAUACCCAACAGGUAUUGUUUCCUUGGCUCUCAGUAUGACAUUGCCCUUAGUUUCAUAUCUGAAUCAAUUGUCUUAGCUCUCUCCCAGGCUCUGAAAGGAAAAUUUUCAACAACUUAGCAAAAUUUCCCAAUUAAAUUUUGAGAUACAAAGCAUUCACCUGGGUUUUCUGCUCAACUUUCUAAGCCUCAGGAAGCAACUGUUCUGGAAAGCAGUAUGGAAAUUCCUCAGAAACCUUAGAAUGGAACCACCAUUUGACCCAGCUAUCCCACUCCUUGGUUUAUACCCAAAGGACUUAAAAUCAGCAUAGUAAAGUGACACAGCCACAUCAAUGUUUAAUAGCAGCCCAAUUCACAAUAACUAAGCUAUGGAACAAACCUAGGUGCCCUUCAACUGAUGAAUGGGUAAAGAAAAUGUGAUAUGUGUGUGUGUGUGUGUGUGUGUGUUGCAUGUGCAUGCAAUGGAAUAUUACUCAUCCAUAAAGAAGAAUGACUUUAUGACAUUUUCAAGUAAAUGGAUGGAUCUGGAACCUAUCAUGCUAUGUGAAAUAAGCCAAUUUAAAAAACUAAUGGCUGGCCAAAUGUUCUGUCUGGUAUGUGGAUGCUAACUCACAAUGGCUGGGGAGCAGAUAGGGAAAAAGAGAAGUACUUUGGAUUAGACAAAGGAGAAUGAAAGGAAGGAAGGGGGGAUGGGAAUAGGAAAGAUAGACGAUGAAUCAGACAUUAUUUUCCUAUAUGCAUAUAUGAAUAAAUGACUAAUGUAAUUCCUCAUCAUGGACAACCAGGAGAAUGGGAAGUUCUAUUCCACAUACAUAUAAUGUCAAAAUUCAUUCUACUGUCAUGUAUAGCUAAUAAGAACAAAUUAAAAAUAUUAUAGAAAGAAGAGCUUUUUAGAAUGCAUGUACAAUGCUAAAUAGUUUUUUUGUUGAUGAAAUUAGUUUACAGUGGUUUGUCUUCAUAUCAGACAGAGUGAUUUUCUCAUUCACCUACAAAAUAGCUUCAUUGUAGUGUGGGUAGAUGUAAAUUAGCUUUCAAAAAUUGGAAGUCUGUCUUUGUUCUACAUUAUAGCUAUUUAUCCUGAGCCUUUUAUUUGGAUAUCCUUCCAACUGUCUCUAUUUUUAAUCAUUUUUUUAAAACUUAAAAAUACUUUAUUGUAGCAUAAUUUACAUACAAUAAAGUUCACUUAUUUCAAGUGAGUAGUCUCACCCACUGCCCGCACAGGAAAGAUAUGCUGUGUUCUCCUACAUGUAGUGAGCUGGCUGCAAAAUACAAAUCACAAGACACAGAAAUAAUUUCGAGAUCGAAGGCAGGUUGGCUCUGCAAACUUAAGGGUCCUGCUUCCACACUAGAAGGAGAGAAAGAGUGAGCCCACAUUUUUAUUUUUAUAUGGGAGAUACACAAAGGCUUUUCCAUAGAAUAUUCUUCACCAAAUAAGGCAGGGGUGGGCUGUCCAAGCCCAAUGGAUAAUGCCCAACUCUGGAGCUACAGAGUAGCCUCUAUGCCCCAGCAAAGACUGAGGUCACAUGCUUUGUGUAAUAAACCACAAAAUGACUUGCAAUGCCAGACCAAAAUCUCCUUGACUUCAAGGCUGAGUAGAGGCUAUGCAAAUAGCUCAGAGGUGGUCCCCCAUAGAGGAGUUCAAUAAACAUGACCAAUAUGUAAACCUGUGUGACAAUAAAGAGUGUUUCCAUCAUUUGCAAGAGUCCUUUCAUUCUUUUUUGUAGCUAAUUCUUCUUUCAACUGCCAACUCCAUGAAGAUACUGAUGCACUUCGUAUCAUAAUAGUUUACUUUACAUCACUCUCAAACAUCAUAUAAACAGAAGUCUAGGUAUUCUUUUGCAUCUGGCUUAUUUUGCUUACGUUAUGCUUUAUUAAUAGUUUAUUUCUUCUCAUUGUGGGUAAGUAUGCACUGAGUAGUAUUUUAUUGAAUAGUGUUUUCUAUUUUAUCUAUUUGCCAGUUUGAUAGACAUGUGGAUUGUUUCUAGUUUUGGAUUAUAAUAAAUAAGUAAACGCUAGUGUACAAGUCCUUGUAUGAAUUUUCAUUUUCCAUUGUAAAUACUGGACCAUAUGAUAAAAUACAUGCUUAACUGCAUGAGAAACUACUACCUGCUUUACAAAGUAAUCUUUUUCACAUUCCUCCCAAUAAUGUACAAGAAUUUUUUUCAUUCCAUAUCCUGGUUGACACUUGAAUUGUCUUUUUGAUUUUGGUCAUUCUAAAGGUAAUGUAAUAUUAUCUCCUGAGUCUUAAUUUACAUGUUCCUCAUGAUUUAUGACAUGUGGUACCUCUUUGUAUUCUUAAUGGCCAUUUGAAAAUAUUAUUUUCUAAAACAUCAGUUCAAAACUUUUGUCCAUUUACUUAUUGAGUUGUUUGUCAUACUGAGUUGGAAAGAGUACUUUAUAUAUUUUGGAUACAAGUUCUGUAUCAGCUACAUUUACUGGUGCAUUUCCUGCCAAGCUAUGGCUCACUUUUUCAUUUUCUUAACAAGGUCUAUUGCUGGGGAGAAGCGUACUAUAUACUUGCCUUUCUACUUAUCAGAUGGUUCAUCACUUACUAUCUGGUUCCCAGUAUUCUUAUAUACAAAACUGAGACCCUAAUUCUGUUCAGAUUUAUUUAUUUUUUAUUUUUAUCAUCUAAAAUCUUGAAGUAUCAAAGAAAACUUUAAUUUUCUGUGUCAAGAAAGUCUAUUAAUAUACUUUCAAAAUAUUUUCAAUCAUGCUUUUUUUAUCAGAAAACCUUAUUUCUAAUGGUGCCUGAUUAGUCAAUAUCUUAGUAGAAUACUUUUUUAUACCAAAACUUUUUACUUAGAAACACAUUCAGAUGUAAUUUCCAUUGCUUUUAUAAAACCAAAUUAGAUUGUUCUUUAUUGCAUGUAACAUCUUCCUUACAGGUAGCCUGAAAAACUCCACUAAAUAACUUUGUUCUAGUUGUUCAAAGUUAUAGAAAUUUUUAAAUAAAUGGAAUUUAUUGGUCAUUAACAAAUUUUAGAAGCUUGUACUGAUGAAAAUUGAUAAACUUAGUAUCUUAACCAAAAGGUAAAUUUACGUAAACUGGUUUAUGUCAGAAUUGCUGCUGGUGACCUUAGCUUGUUUUUGAGUUAGGACCAUCAUUCAUCCUCCUUCUAAGGAUUCCUGAUUACUGUUCUGUGAAAGAAAAUGGUAGUCACAGCUCUUAUUGAUUUGUAUGUACUUGGCUGUGAAAUACUUGUUAUUUUCUUUUUGGGAGUCUUAAAUAGAAUCAUAAAAAGUAAAAACCAAGAAAGACUAUAAACAUCAUCUUAUCCACCCUCUGUCUUCCCUUCUCAUCAUUCUAUAGAUGAGGACACUGGAGCCCUUCUAGAUUAAAUAAACUUUCCAUAUUUUUAAUGUUGAUUUGAAAUAUUAGAAAAUCAGAUGGUGAUGCAUGAAUUCUUAAAGUUAUAUGAAUCAUCUGAAAUUUUCUGUUUCUUUGUUCAUUUUAGUUAAUUUAAUAUGAAACACUAAAAUUUAUAUACAGCAGAAAAAAAUCAGUGAAAAAUUAUUAUUUUGGAUGAUACUUUCUUUUGCUCUUCUCUUUUGUUGCUGAUAAUCAAUAAUUAAUAUUUUGGACUUACAGAAACUAGACUUUGGGGCAAUUAUUGUAUUCUCUCUAAGCUAUGUGUCUUUGAAACCUAGGCACCCUCUUUAACAUUUGGUGAAGAAACUCUUAGAAAGACUAUGACACUGCAUAACUUGACCACAUGUGCCCUCACUUACUUUUUUUCCCUGUUUGCUUGCCAUUUCUUUUUUUCUUCCUUUUACAUCUGUUUCUUAUCCCUGCUAUAGCCCCUGGUGGAUAUUGCUUAAUCCUCCAAAUAUUAUCUAGUUCACAAGAUGUCUAAGGACCUCAUAUUAAAUGAAUAUCAGCCUACACUCUAACAUUGCAAUUAAAAAUAAAACAACUUUUAUCUUAGGUAUUAAUAAUAGCUAAUACUUACAUAGUACAUACUAUGUGCCAAUUACUCUUCCAAACACUUUGAAUAAAUUAAUUCAUUUAAUUUUUAAGUAACUAUUUGGGAUACGUAUAUUAUAUUCUCUACAAUUUUCAAUAUUUUGAUUUUAUUUUAAAAGGAAUAAAUAUGUCUUUUAACAAAAAGAAAUAGAGAUUGUCUGUCUUCUUUGAAUUUUCAGAGAACAAAAAAUAUUUAAUUCAUAGCUCCAAAGAGUUUAACCAAAAUGCAUAUGAAUUAUUGAUACAGGAAAAAGGCUUCUUUAUGCCUUUCAAAGAAUUCAAGUUUUGAAACAUCAUCAAAAAGACAGUGAAUUUGGGCUGGGAUUGUGGCUCAGUGGUAGAGUGCUUGCCUAGCAUGGGGCACUGGGUUUGAUCCUUAGCACCACAUAAAAAUAAAAUAAAAAUAUUGUGUCCACCUAAAACUAAAAAAUGAAUAUUAAAAAAAACAGUGAAUUAUAUCCUCCACUAUUUCCAUAAAGAACAAUAGCUCGUCAUCUGUUGGAAGUAUUAUGUUUAAAAAUUAACCUCUCAGUACUGGCUAUUACCAAGAUCUUCACCAUGGAGCUUCUGUUAAAAAGUUAUUCUUAAACAAACCAGUCAUUUGAUAAAAAUCACUGGGGAACUUGAGGUCGGAGAAAGCAUGCAGUAGUUUUUCUAUAUUGGUUCAAGUAUUAGUCUCAGGACUUUCAGUCAUAUUGAAAACCAAACAAACAAAACUUUUUUAUGAAAUAUAUCACAUAAGUCCUGUAUGUACAUCAUGGGUAAUACAUAUAAAGAUGGUGGGAAAGCAGGAGAGCAGGGGAGAAGUAAGAAAGGAGAAAAGAAAGAAGGAAAAAAAAAGUAGAGAGGAAAGAAAGAAAAAAAAUGAUGUGAAAUUCCAUCAGUUGUUGAAAAUUAUCAUUGACUUAAAAGAGUACAUCUUUUAAUUAUUGUAUGUAUUUUUAAACAAAAAUAGAAUGUCAUUUUCUAACCUACUUUUAUUUUUUAAAUACACAACAUAUGUCCUUAUAGUACAGAUAAAUAUCUGUACUAUAUAUGGACCUAAUUGAACAACUCAAACAUUAUUGUACAUUGGAUAGUUUUUAGUCUUUUAUCGUAUCCUUUGUAUAUUCUUAAUUAAUUUCUUAGGAUAAAGUGCUACAGAAAGGAAAAAUAAGUAGUCACCAGGUAAAUAAAAUGUUAAGGCUUUUGAUAUUAUUUGCCAAGUUGUAAUCUAAGAAGGUCAUGCCAUUUAUAUUCUACCAGCAGUAUCCAAAACUACCAGUAGAUAUUGUUAUUUACUAUUAUUUUAAUUUUCAUUUAUUAUCAGGAAGAAGUUUCAAAUGUUUUAUGAGAUGAUUAUCAAUUAUAUGAUUUUUUGGGUAAAAUUUCCUCUCUUUCCCUUUAUGUUUAAACUAGAUUAUUAUGAAACAGUAUUCCCAGUUGAAUGAGGUACAACCGAUUGCCUGAUUCUGCUAACCAUAACAUGCCUUCUGAUUUUAAAGCCUCAGUGUGCAUGGAGUCUGAGCCAGAGGUCAUUCGAUGCUUGAGGUUGGCACUGACUGACGCUGUCAAGGACAUUGUCCAAAAGGUGAUAUCUAUGAUGAACUGUGAGAAAAACUGUGAAACAAACCUAAGCAAGCACAGUGUUCCUGAUGGUUUGCUUGAGAGCAUUCCAAAAGAAUGGAGUUAUACUCCAAAGGAAACCAAAAAAAAAGAUUCAAGCAAAGGUAAGUAUACUUGUUUUCCUAGAAAAUAUCCCCUAAAAAAGCAAUAUUCCAGGAUAUUUAGUUAAGUAAAAGUCUAAAACUAUAAGACUGAUAAACCAUAUUAAUCUUUCUUCCUCCAAGUAUAUCUGGGAAAACUGGAACAAGGACACUAGAGAUGCAAAUGACUCAACUGGUCAUCUUUUUUUAACAGUUCAAAAUUUUCUGUGAUAUUUUGUUUUUGUAUUAGUAUUCACAGAUUAGUCACAUGUUGUGGACUAAAUUUCUCUAAAUCUAUUGAGUAAUCUAGAAUUUGUACUUUCAGGAAAACUACUCUGAUAUUCAGUUUAAUUAUUCUUCCUUUUAAAUUUUUCCCCUGAAACCACCAAUUAUUACUUUUUCUUCUUGUUAACACUCCUACAUGCAUAGCUUUUAGGUAAAAAAUAGCAUUGAGUUUGGUAACUACAUAUAUUUUCUGACAGGGCAUUUUCCUCCAGUCCCUGUAGUUCUGAAUUGAGACUUUGUUUCUGUUCAGAACAAUGCAUCCACCAACUACAUUUAAGAACCAUCAGUUUACAUUAUUUAUUUAUUUUAUUAACUAAGUUCUCUCUUAAAUGUUUUCUUCCUGUCUACAUGUAGGAAAAUUUCCAGAAUUUUCACAAAAUUCCCUUGAAAGUAUAUUAAAUAUUAGUAUUUGUGAAUCUUCUUUUGGUUUUCUACAAUACUUUUUCCUUUCAUAUUCAUCUCUAAGAGAAUAUUUUUUUACCAUCUCUAAGGAAACUUUCAUCAAUACUUCAGGAGAACCCACAAAAGUCAAUUGAAGGGACUGGUCUUUCUUUGAUUCUCCUCCAUGAGAUCCUAAGUAAUGUAGCUCUUAUUCAGCGACCUUAUAUUACAAACUCAAUCAAUUAUCUAUCUGUGACCUUUCAUAGUAAUGCUUUAAUUCUGCCCAAGCCCUAUUAAACUGCCUUUGAAUCUAGUAAAGCCAUUUAAUUGAAAUUGGAAAAUGUCACCUUUUCAUUACUUAAGUUCUUCCUUGCCUAAGAGUUGUUGCCAUCUCUCCUUCAUUCUAGCUUUGGAUAUUUCAUACAUUUUGAAUAAAGCAGGGGCAUGAUCUAUAGUUAAUGUGCCAUGCCAUAUGAGUGGCACUGUUUUUGCUUGUGGCUUUCUGUUUGUGAAAUAUUUUGGUUUCUAAGAAGCAUUUUAGAAUAUCUGUGUACUGUUUUAAAGAGUUUCUUGUUCCCAAAAUGCUUAUUUUACAUAGAUACCAGUUAUUAGGGUCUGCCUUACUCAAUAACAUUUUUCAUAAAAUUAUCACUAGAAGUACAAUAUAUAGCCAGUCACAAAGAGGUGCUGGAUCUCAUGAAUACAUAAAAGAAAGUGACUUUAUGAACCAUAUUUUGCAUUCUAAGUGGAUAUGACACUAGGGGAACACCAUUGAUCUUCAUUUCUGUCCUCUGAGUACAGAAACUCUUAGAUUAGCCCUGCUCAACCUUUAUAUUCACUCCUUAUCCACACUUUUUUGCUUUAUUCCUUUAUUUUCAUUGCUAAUCCACACUUCUGUGGUUGAGAGUAAGCCCAAAAUAUUAUCAUUUAUUUUAAAUUUCACAGGAGAGAAUUCACACUCACAUAAUUUUUAUUAUAGUAUCAUUAUAAUUGUUCUAUUUUAUUAUUAGCUAUUAUUAAUUUCUUACUGUGCCUAAUUUAUAAAUUAAAUUUAUUAUAGUAUAUAUAUAUAUAUAUGUAUGGCAAAAAAAUAGCGUAUGUGUUUUAGCCAUCCGCUGGAGGUCUUGGAAUGUAUCUCCCUUGGAUAAGAGUUAGGGGACAACUGUAAAAGACAGAGAUUAUUUAUAUGCUGGACAUUAAGUCAUCUAUUCAUUCAAUAGGUGACUCAUAAAUAUAUAUGAGGCUCUGUAUUUAUAGUCAGAGAUAAGCUAUAUAUGUAAUAUCUUCUCUUGGUCCUUGGAGACUAGUAUAACUAUUUCAGAACAGAUGCAAACACCUCCGGGGUGUUUUUUUGUGUAUGGGAAGAAAAGAUUAAAAGUUUGCUAAAGUCUCACUUGGAGAUUGUCACUGGAACCCCUCUUCAGUCUGGGCGAACAACUUAUAUGUUAGGGACAAUAGGUGAGGAGGCUCAAGUGGGCAGGAGCACAAUAUUAAGGAGAAGUAAUAGGCAGGGAAACCUUAUUUCUUCUUUAGCCUUCUGUGUACACACCUUGGCUUUGUAGAAUCUGGUAUUAACAAAAUUAAUCCUUGCAAUACUCAAGAGAUCUUAACAUAUUCCUGAAAAUCGACAAAUCAAUUAUAGCUUAAUACUGGGAAGGCAGUGAAGAGCACAAAGUGACACAGAUAAAAGUCUCACAUGUAUUUUGAUUUCGAAUAUGAGCUCUCAGUCAUAUCAUAAAGUAAAACAAUAAGGAUCUAAUCAAAUUUGGCAAAAAAGAUAAAAAAAUUUAAAUAGAAAGAAAGAAACCUGUAGGAAAAUGAUUUGAAAUAUGGCUUCCCAUCCAUUAUUGUGAAAUGUGAAUCCUUUUUAAGUGAGUGUUGUGCCUUGAGCUAUUAGCUAAAGAUAGUUUGAAGUUGUCUUGAUUAGCAAAAUGAUUUCAAAACCAAGCAUCUGAAACCUGAAGAUAAACCUCUGUAAUUUCUUCAACAGUGUUUUAAGUCAAGUUAUAAUCAUGUUCUUCACAAAAUUUGUGUAAACAAUGAUAAAUGUCUUAAGACAUUUCUUGUGAGAAUUCAAACCUAUUGAAAGACAAGUAGCCACUACCUUAAGGGAACAUUUGUCCUUGACAUAGUGAAAAUGACAGAGCAUGGUAAACAGUAUGAUGACAAACUAAAAGACAUUCCUUUAUUUCUUUGUCAGCAAAUAUCAUUACAUAGCAACACUGAAGAUUUAAAGAAACAAAUGUAAAUCAUACAGGGGAGCUUUACCAUACAGUUGGAUGAAGAUUCAGAUUGUUCUGACGUAGCUCAGCUUUUAAGUCUUUGGUUCCUUGUAUUUCAAAAGAAUGAAUACACGAAGAACUGGUUUUGUUUUUGUUUUGCUUCUUUGACAAAAAUUAAAAGAAAGAUGUACCUAUAAAGAAAUUUUCUCAACAGUAAAUUAAUUUUUUAAAAUUAAAAAAAAUGCAUUAUGGUAAAAUCAUUGGAGCAAUUGCUUCAAUGGAAAUAGUGGAUUCUGGAGAGUGGAAGCAGAGGAAGUACCAUAAGGGACAUGCAUCCAUGUCACUGACCUCAUGCAGUGUUUAGAAGGAUAUUGGUGAAAGAAAUAUGUAGAAUGCUAUAGGAAGUCAGCAAUUUAGUUUAUUUUGUAAAAACUAGAGAUUAUACUAGUUUUGUGAAAACCAACAUCACUUAUAAAAAUAUCAUAUCUAUAUACUUAAGAACUUAGACAUAGAAUUUUCUAAUGUGUUUAAAAAUACUUCGAAUGAAGAGUUUCUAUAAUCCUUGAACCAUUUUCUUAAAAAUAUACAAAUGAGCCAGGCACAGUGGUGCACAACUAUAAUGCUAGUGUCUAGGGAGUCUGAGGCAGGAGGAUCACAAGUUCAAGGUCCGCCUCAAUGACAGGUAGAGCUGUCUCAAAAAGAAAAAGAAACAAAACAAAACUGGGGUUCAGCUCAGUGGUAAAUAACCCCUGAGUUCAUUCCCCAGUACCAAACACACACACACACACACACACAAAUGAAAUAUAUUUUCAAUUUGUAAGAAUAAAUAAUUAAUAUUAUAGUCAAUGGAUACUAAUUAUUCAGAUUUCAACAACAGCUUUGCCUGAUUGCUUUUUAAGGCUGAAAAACAAACUUCAUGCUUUUGUAAGCACAGCUAAUAAUAUACCUGCUCCAUGCUCCAUGUGGAGAUACAUAUGUAUAUGUUAGUGGUAGUAGUUUUUUCAACUAUGACAGUCACUAAAACAAUGUACAGAAACAAACUGAACUGAGAACCUGACCUUUGUACUAAUCCCAGAUUUUAAACAUAAAAGCAUAUUAAAUCACAUUAUCAUCAUCUAAAAAUUGUUAUUUUGUACAAUUAAUAGAUGAUAUUUUAAUAAUUAAUUUAAAGACCUUAUUUUGUCUUUACUUCAUUUGUUGUGAAUAUCUUCCUCACAUGUUUUAUAAUCCCCAAAUAUAUUACAGUAGUUCAUGUGUAAGAAGGAAGAAAUGAUAAAUUCAUAAAUGUACCAACCAUAUUGGGUUCAUUACAAGAUACACAUUUUUUCAUACUUUGAGAAUUAUAAAAUUGGCAUAGUUUCUAAUAUUUUACAUAUAAAUGAAUUAGGAAGAAGUCAACUUAUUUAAAUAAAGACAUAAAAAUGAGUGUGAGAUAGUGUUAAAAGAUUCCUCUCUGGUAUAUUGUUAACCUCAUCAUAGAUUCAGAGCCCUUGUGAUUAGCAGAAUAGAUUUAUUCAUUUAUCAUCAGCUUGAAGGUUCUGAUCAGAAUUUGCCUUAAGCUUUAAUGAUGUGUUUGGGUAUUUGAGUACCUGGAGCCCACAGAGUUUAUAAAAUAGCAGAAGUCUAGGUGUAAAGAGAGUUGGUAAUCUUUACCUGGUAUCUACUUAGAUAUUUAAAUGUUUGCUCAGUGCCUGUGCUUACACCCUCUUUAGAAUAGAGGAAUAUAAGAUGCAAUGUUUGAAGUCAAAUAACUGACAGUAGAAUAGGGAGUAUGGAAUACAAACACAUAAAGAACAAUAAUAAGACAUUUAAAAUAAUUUAACAACACAAAGAAGAGAGGUCACAAGGAAGUUUUUGAUUUUGCUUUUACCUAUAUUUUAAGAUCCAUUGAAACAUUCAUUUGCAUAAAAAGAAUACACUUAUUGAGGAACUCUUUUCUACAGGCACUGAAGGAGGUGCUUUCACACUCUUGGGAAGUGCACUGGCAGCUCUGUGGAAGCCUUGGGGAGAUUUCUCCUGUGCUCUUCAGCAACUUUUAAUACAGAUGUAAGACAACUCACAAAGACCUAAAUAACAACAUGACAUAAAUAAUAGAGAUAAUAAUACAAAAGAUGAUGCAGCAUGGUGCAUUAUUGGAGCUGACUACCAAUAUCCAUAUGACUGUCCAUAUGACAUAUGGACAUAUGGAUAUUAUAUUCAAAUAAAUUUAUUAAAGGGUAUAGGACUUCAAAGAAUUUAAGUAUACAGGUAGGUGAACCAUGAAGAAAGGGGGUAUUUAUUCCAUUGAGAAUGAUAGAUAUUCACAACCCUGAAGCAGAGGUAAAGUGUAUAGAAGGUCUCAAAGAGAAAGUUGGUAGAAACAGUAUGACACUGGGCUAUGAAACAUUUUGAAAAUCAAGCUUUGAAGUCUUAUCUUGCUCACCAGUGGAAAAUAGCUAAAACAAUUGUAGCAGAGAAAUUGGAUCAUAAAAAUUGAAUUGUAUAUGAAUCCAGUGUACUGCCAGAUUCAUGGGACCCCAAUAGACAUCCAGGAGCUGAAUCCAGUGCAAGCACACAAGAGUCUUUAUUACAAGCUCGAGCCUGGACUCACAACCGUUUCUGAUGCAGUGGUCCCAGGGAGUGAGUCCCUGUCCUCUGUUCAGUGAGGAUUUAUAGGUUUUGGGGGGAUACUCAAUGCGUCACAACAUCACACAGCAAAUCAUUUCACACUGCAGGAAAAUCAAACAACAACUCUUAACAUUGAUUAGCAUAUUCACUGGUGGGAACAAGUUGGGUAGGGGUGAUUGGUUAGUACAAGAGGGGGUUUCCUUUGAAUUGAUUGGUUUAAGCCACGAGGGGUGUAUGUGCUAAACUACAUGGUUUCCCAACAUGUUAUCAACCACCAUAGACUACUGGGGGGUCAUGGGGCAUCCCAGGUAUUUUCCCUGUCUCAUGCUGAUUGGUCGUUGCUAGGGGGUUGCUAUGGGUCCUCACCUAGCCUAACUGAGUUAGGGACACCUGGUGCCACAGAUCUCUCCCAUUAUUUACAGACAACUCAGCAGGGUGGCUAUCUGCCAAGGAGUGCUCUGUUGGUUUUUCCAAGGACAAGGGUCAUGUCCCCUUUCUUGGACAGGCUUUGCUCUGAGGUAGAGGCUGGUUUCUCAAAAAUGGAGUCACAUCAGUUUCUCACCACUACUGUGGAUGAAUUUGGAUUUACAGUGCAGAGGAGGGGCCGGACAUAGCCUGGAAUAUGGAGAUAAGUCAGGAGAGUAUGUUCAUUAUCCAGGUGCCAUUUGUGAGGAAGAGCUUGAAGUAGGGCGAGGUUGGUCUCAGCAAAGAUAAAGAGGAUUUCAGAGACAACAGGGUAGGAAGAUUUACCAAUGGUGGUCACUGGUUUUGUAUGAAGUAUCAACAGGAAGGAAAGAAGAAAGGGAGGGAGGAAGGGAGGGAGAGAAGAGGAGGGCCAAGUAAUUUGGAAGGAAGACAAUAAUGAUUAUAUUGAAUUAUUGGUGACUCAGAAAGAGAAAUGCAAUGCCCAAAAAGGAGCUGGAGCUAUAGGAUUGCAAUCAAGAAUGGUUCUCAACUCAGGGUGAUUUUGCUCCCAGAGGACAUCUGGCAGUGCCUGGAGCAGUUUUGGUUGUCACAAUUGAGGGGAAUGUUACUGGCCUUUAGGGGUAGAAGCCAGGCAGAAAUGCUGCUAAACAUGCCUCAUAGGGCACCUCAUCCCAACAAAAACUUAUCCAGCCCUGAAUGGCAAUUGUGCAGACAGAGAAAUGUCAAUCUAAAGAAAUAUCAAUAUAUCCUUCAGAGAAGUAGCACCAAGCAAAGGAGAACACAUAGAAUCACCAGCCAGAGGUUAAGGACUGCUCAGAAAAUACCCACAUUUAAGAGGUGUUGGUAGAAAGUGUAACUGGCAUGGGACACAAAGAAGCAAAGAAAAAUAGUAGAGGUAAAUAAAAACGAGUUUAUUGGUUCAAUAUUCAACCAAUAUUGAAUAACUUAAAAAUGAGGUACUAUGUGCUAGGCAUACAGUAAUGACCUUCUGGAGCUUAUAUUCUAGUGAAGAGUGACAGAUAAUGAAUAGGUAAAGGAUAUAAUUAUAACAGGUAAUUAUAAAAAAAGACAACACAACAGGGUCCCAUGAUAGCAAGGAAGAGUAAGAAGGGACUGCUUUGAAUGGGAUUUGAAGCAAGUUCAACUGAGAGGGUGACAUUUAGGCUAAGAAUGAAGAGAAGAGGAGCCAGUCCUGAAAAGAGCAGGGAUGAUUCAAAGUUCCCCAGGGAGGAGGAGAAAUUCUUACAGGAGACUCAGAAGUAUCAAAGGCUACUGAGGUCCAGCAGGAAUGCAUUUGCAUUUGUUAAUUAAGGGAGGACAUCUAGGGUCCUCAAAGCUGCAGCAGUCUUAAAAGAUAAAAUAGAAGUUAUAAUUCUGAAAUUUCUAAUCUUCAUUUAUGGAAGGAAACAGAAAAGGCAAGUUUGGGAUUUGGGGGACUUUAGGUAAUGCUGCAGGAGAUCCCAGUAGAGUUCUGUCGGAAUAUGUCAAGCACUUGCUCUUCUCAACAAUUUUCUCCAUGAAAAUUAGACAUCCCCACACAACACAAAACCAUGCAGUGAUGGAACGCAAAUGCUAAUAUUAAUCAUACCUUUUCUAUCUUUUCUUCCCCAGGCUUCACAAGGCUUGCUGCUCAGGCAGUAUCUAUUGUAAUCAGCAAGUUACCUACGGUGAUUGCAUGUUUGCCUCCCCCAAUUAAAUACUUCUUUUUUCUGUCUGAGAGGAAAAUGUCAAAAAACUUUGUUGAAUUGAAGAUAGCUGGCCUGCUUGUCUGGAACUUGAUUGUACUUAUACGUCGCAUAUUUAAAGAUGGAAACGCAGUAGAACUUUUAACAGGUGCCUCCCUUGACAGAUGGAGUAAAGAGAAACUGGGUUUAAUUUGUGUGUGUUUGGGUAGCAUCAUAGGAGAGCAAAGUAGCCCUAAUCAAAUGACCCAAAAAGUCAUACAAAGCAUUGAGCAACAAAAGCCCAAAUGGAUUGAACACCAGUUGUUGAAAGCAAGGAAACUGAGCACUGAAUGGUAAGGCAAUGUUUUUCUCUCACUGAAUUCAUCACAUACUUUCACAAUAACAAAAUUACCAGAACACAACCACAACAAAAUCUUAUCAGAUGGGCAGCAUUGGUCAUUUGGCUAAAUUCAUGGGAACUUUGAUGAGGAUAGGAAAAGAUAAGUAUCCCACUAAACACUACUGUUAAGGGUUCCUUGUCUUCUUAAAAUUUGAAUCCCAUUGAUACACAAGAACACUAUACUUGUUGAGUCACCAUCUAAAGGUUUCCGAUUAAAAGGGUGGAAGUUACACCCAGAAGAAUUUAAUUUCAUUCCUUUUCAGUGUAUAAACAGGUAUCUAGUGGAUAUGAAGUGUUUUGUAAGUGGAGUGGGCACAGAGAUUAAAUUAAGAAGGAAUUAAUGGAUAUGAAAGCCUUUUUAUUGCUUUCUGUGUACCUGAUUGUCAAAAAGGUACACAUUUUUCAUCUGGUAAUAUAAGAAUCCCAGAGGGCAAGUAGGGCAUAUCACACUCAAGCUAUAAACACACCCAGCUGUUCCAGUAUGAAAAUGUCAGCCUUCUCAUAGGUUUGUCACCAAGAGCUAAGUGAUUUGUGGUAUUGCAAAGAGUUUUAAGGGUCCCUGAUGAAUUUAAAUAUGUACAUAGAGCUUUCCUGUUUUAAAAUUAGUCUUUUGGUAUAGAGUUGCAUGAUACUGAUAAAGGAAUUCCGGUUCAGAUGGUCUACAGAUCACUAAGUUAGCCCUUUUUUUAAACAUCCACAUGCACUGUCCCCAUUCUGUUAAAGUAUAUUCAUGUUGCUAGCAGAUAUUAGAAUAACUUUCCGCCUGAAAAGACUAAAAGCCACUUGAAAUAUUACUGUUACUAGUAGAUGGUAGUGGUAAAGAGCUCAGGCUUUAGAAUCAGAGGAACAAAUACAAAUCCCUUGUAAAUAGGUCAGCUUGUGCAAGUUACUGAAUUUCUCAAAGCCUCGGUUUUAACAAUGAAACCAAGAUGACAGAAUUGUUUUGAAAAAUUAAAUAACAUAAAGUUCUUAGCAUCAAGUUUAGAAUUAGUAAGCACUUAUUAUUUAUAAACUAUUAGAAUACAUUUUGCAUUCACUGGUUAGUACUAUAACUAAUGCUCUUAGCUAGUCUAUGUUAAUCUUUAAGACUUUAUAUUAAUCCAUAUGGUGAAAAGUAGGUAAUCGUGAUUUUCCUGGUCUUGUCAUACUGACUUCUAGAAAUUUACUUCUGGAUGUCCCCUGGGCGGAAGUAACAAUAGCAGUCAGGCAAAUGCUUAGUCACAUUGACAGUGACCUUCUUAAUCUUCAUAUUUGUAUUCAAUACCAAUUCACAGGCUUUAAUCCAGUGACUAAAAGAUUAAGGCCAGAUGUCAUUAUACAGUGAUUAUAAAAGAGAGAGAGAAGAGUAAAAAUUGUAGAUCGGAUUUUAUUUUAAAAGUUAAAUUUAUGAUACUACUGAUUUAGAAGCCACUCUAUCAAAUAAGAUCUAUUCAAAGCAUGUGUAAGUAAUAUAACUGGACUACAUGCAAAAGCUGAUUUCAAUUAAAGUUUUAUAAGCAACACCAACACAUCUGGUAUCCCCUGUAGUGUGAGGCUGUCUAGCUAAUAUUUAGCUGACUAGUUAUGAGUCAAAAAAUUGCUUAGCAAUCUCUUAGAACAUUCAUCAAAAACAAAGAAUUGCUGAUUUAAAAUAUUUUAAUCAACAAAGAUUCUGAAUAAUUAGUUAAUAAUUAGUACAAUACUAUGUCUCAGUUUCUGAAUUAUCAAUAUAUAAAAAUGCAGACUUAAAGUUACUUAUUACAUGUAUUUUAAAAAGUUAAAUUUGAUUUAACUCACUUAUAUUAAUCUCAUACAGAGUUUGGGCACUAUAAGGAUCCUUCUUCUUGACUUCAAUUUUAAAUUGGUUAUCCGAAAUACAGAUGGACUUCUACUCUAAGAAUGUCUCAUAAAUUGAUGAUUAUUAAGUUAAUAGAUCUAUACUAUUAAGAAAAAUGCAUUUCAAAUCAUGAUACUAUAUAAAGUAAAGGGUUGCCAUAUUUUUUUUAAAUAUGGGUGUAUAAACAUUUACACCAAAAUAGUUCUUCUGUUGUUAUAAAUCUUAAUUCCUCAUGAAGAUUAUCUUGGAACCUACAUGAUACCAUUAACUAGAUUUCUUGCACUUGCAUCCAGAUUUAACUUUGAAUUUUGUUAUGGUAAAGGUGAGAAUAACUGCAGUCAAAUAGGUGGCAACUGUAAAUGUUGCCUGUCCUGCAUACUGCCUGAAAGUAUUACUAUUCAUUAAAAUAACCUUCACUUUGUAGUAACUCUCAAGCUGUAAACAGUCAACUUACAUUCUGGAGAACACACAGCCCCAAAACUAAAGAAAUGUCUGUCUUUGCAAAGUAAUUUGUCGAGUUGAAGAUUAUUGUUUUUCAUCAUGGUGACCCUGACUUGGCUGGCUGGGUGCAUAUACAGAUUAAGAUUAAUGCAGUUAUUCCUUGGCUAAGGUCUGCCUCUUUCAGGGCACAUUCUCCCUAAUGACAUGAUUGAUAGGCAGUCCCAAAUCCAGAGAGGAACUCAUUAAUCAUAGCAUUGACUGAAUCCAAUCAUUUGCUUCACCUGCACAGUGAUGGACAGGAAAGGAUACAAUUCAGGGGCUGACACUGAGAUACUCCUUUGUCAGAGAACCUCAACUUUUUCAAUGUCAGCCUCUACAAAACCCAACAAGAAAUUUUGCUUGCAACCUGCAUGCAGCUUCAAAAAGAUACAUGCAAAUGUCUCAUAGAGGCCAUUUUUAAAAAAGAGAUUUAUGCUAGUUGAUGAAUAUUGCUAAGUCAGAGUGGGAUUUGCUUUUUGGGGGGUUAAGACUUAUAGGAUCUUGAAAUUCCUUUUUCUUUCUUUCCUCUUUUUUGAGGACAUUUUGAAGCUACAUGUGGAAGCAAUAUCAGAGUUAAUGUCCAGCAGCUGGGUAUCAUUUGGUUCAAUCUUCAGGUCAACGGCACUGACUCUUAGCAGAACUAAUUUUAUAAUCAUGGCAAAAUCUCAGUAAUGAACUGCAGUACACAGCUGAUUACACCACAAUAAAUUUCAUUCAGCCUGAGAAACAGUAGAAACCAUGAGUUUUCCUAAGAACACUUAGACUGAAAAGCCUAACAUGAUCCAAUAGGAAUUGUAAUAAAAUUAGUGUGGAAUAUGUAGCAUGUGUGAUGACUAUCAUAAUUUUUUACAUGAGUAUACUUUGAGGUGUUUAAAAUAUUUUGUUAUCCGUUAUUAUGUAAACAAUUUUCAAAAUGAAGGACAAGCAUAUAUAUGUGUGUAUAUAUAUGUGUGUAUAUAUGUGUGUGUAUAUAUAUGUACACACACACAUAUAUAUGCAUAUAUAUGUAUAUAUAUAUAUAUAUAUACAUAUAUAUAUACAUAUAUAUAUAUAUAUGCAUUCUCCAAAAAAAAAAAAAACAUUUCAGGACUGUUUUCAACAUUCUUAGUGUGAUGAUUGUAAACCCUUUUUCUGGAAGAAUAAUCAAAGUAAUGAUCUUUGCUAUGUAUCUGUUACAGAAAAGGAGCAGAAGAGGGGGCCUAUAUUUUUUAAAGGCAGCAAGGGUCAAAGGCCAAUUUAAAAUACCCAGUGGUAAGCACACUGCCACCAAGCAUUCAGCCCAUAAUUAGAAUAAUAGGCUCCCCCUUUUGACACAUUAAUUAGUCUCUAAUGUAUCCUAAGACAGGUGUAAAAGGAAUCUACAAAAGACAGAAUACCAGAGCUAUUCCCGGUAUCAAAGAUACUUUUUAUCCUCCAAGAGAAAAUACAAAUUAUUUCUUACACAUUCUUAAAAAGAAAUGUUUUGUUUUCAUCCUGUGAUUGUAGCAAUUUCAACAAUUGCAGUAAUGGGAAAAUGUUUUAUAGAUAGGAGUAUAAAUGCAAUAAAGAAAUGUUUUAAAAGAAACGAUUCAAUUUUAAAAAAUGCUUUCAGGUGCUUAAUUCUGAGGCGCUGUUUCUAUGAGCAGCAGCAGUUUGGGAAGGCUUACUAUUUGAGCGAAGUCUUUAUGGGUGCUUUGAGUAUGAGAUUUACAUCGACUCUCCACACUCAAUCUCUCUGAUUAUUUUCCAUCUUUAUGAUUCUUCGCCACUGAUAUGUAUGUGCUUCCUUUGUGUUUAGUGCCUUUAUGACAAUGGAGAAAAGCACAGUCUUAGAAGAAGGAGACACUGCUCUUGAACUGACUGAGCAGAAAAUAAACAUGAUGGUCCUGGAUGUCUGCCACAAACCAGGUGGCAGUG
rnacentral:lncRNA from 1 species